AGUAUCAAUAUUUCACUGGUUAGUUUCCUGCUUUUUAUCUGCUGCCUUGAAAUAGCAGCAAAAAUAUAAUGGUUUUCAGUUUUAAUGAGGAAAUACUGGCAGUGGCAUAUAAUGCCUGUCAAGUAUAGUUAUCAUAGCUCGCCUGUAUAUUUUACGCGUAUCUUGUUCAAUGCAAGAGAUUGUUAGAGUAUUGAAUAGCAUAACAACGUCAACAAAAUCAGAGCAGAAUCAAGCAUGGGAGAAAGAUCAGAGGAAGAUCAGAAGAAGAUGAAUAAAGAUAAUCUGUUAUAGUUUCAAAUCUGUUAUAGUUUCAAAAUUCAAAUACUUGCACUUAUCCUAUCUUUAAGAUUGUACGCAUAUAUAUAUAUAUAUAUAUAUAUAUAUAUGCACACUGUAAAUAAUAUUGUAUGCAGAGAAUAUAGUUUUUCUUCAUCUUCUGUCAACGUCUAUUGUUAGUUUCUCUAACUCUUUCAUGGUAUCAGAGCAAUCAUAGGUUAACACCUGAUUUGCCACAGCUUCCGCACAUUAAACACAAACACAACUCUUUCUUUCUUUUUCAUCAACCAUGACUUCAUCUGAUUCUACAACUCUUCCCUUGUUCUCUUCACCCCAAAAGAUUCAAUCCAAUUCACAACCAGUCAGUCAAAGACUUGAAGGACAUAAUUACCUCAUGGAGUGUUCAAUUUCAAGUCUUUCUUCGUAGCCAUGAUCUCAAUGGUAUGAUUGAUGGUUCUGCAGAGCCACCAACCAGAACUCUUUCAGAUAAUUCUUCUAAUCCAGCCUACGCAAUUUGGUUCAAACAAGAUAAUUGUGUUCUUAGCUGGCUACUAGCUUCCAUUUCUGAGAAGUUAGUUUCUACUGUCUUUAAUCUAAAGACUUCCAAACAAGUUUGGGACUCUCUUCAGGCAAGAUUUUCAUCUACCUCAAGAUCCCGUAUUGCUCGUUUUAAAAGGCAACUUCAGACUCUUGUUCAAGGCAACCGACCAUGUUCUGCAUUUCUUGAAGAUGCUAAACUGUUGGCUGAUCAACUUGCUGCUGCAGGCAAACCUGUCGACGAUCAAGACUUCAUUACAUUUUUAAUUGGAGGACUUCGUCCCCACUUUACACCCUUUAUCACGUCCUAUAAUUUUGCUUGCCGAGAUAAAGAUCUAUCUUUGGAUGAUUUUCAAUCUGAACUUCUCAAUUUUGAAACAUUACUUGAAGCCUCCAAUCCCAUCCAAACUCAUAAUUUUGCUUUUGCUGCAAAAACAUCUCAUUAUCAAAAAGAGAAACCUGCAAUGAUUCCUGCCAAAUUCCAGCCACAUUCUGCACUACCACAAUCUCAAGGCCCUUCUAGAAUUCAGCCUCAUAGUGAUCGUGUUCCUUCAUAUGACAGACCACAAUGUCAAAUAUGUGACAAAUCUGGUCAUGCUGCAUUGGAUUGUUUUCAGCGGUUUAACUUUUCUUUUCAGGGCAGACGACCUCCUUCUGAAUUGGCAGCCAUGGCUGCUGAAGCCAAUAAUACUUUUGAGCAACAAACUUGGUAUGCUGACAGUGGGGCUAAUGCUCACAUUACUGCUAAUGUAGCAGAUUUAACAACCCUGCAGCCUUAUGAUGGUAUGGAUACUGUCCAAGUUGGAAAUGGUUCAGGUUUGAUGAUUCAAAAUACCGGUUCCUCCUUGUUAAAUGCAUCACAUAAUUCUUUCCGUCUGAAUAAUGUUUUGUAUUGUCCUCAAGCUGCAUCUAAUCUCUUGUCCAUUAAUCAAUUUGCCUUGACAAUAAUUGUUACUUCAUACUUACUGGAACUUCUUUUUUUGUCAAGGAAAACAAGACCAAUCGACUGCUGCUCCAAGGGCUGGUUGAGAAUGGCCUUUAUCCAAUCAAUGGGAAUAAAAAUUGCACCAAGCAAUUUCGUUGUUUUACUUCUAAAUUAGGGACAAAGCCAACUAGAGAUCAAUGGCAUAAACGCCUUGGUCAUCCUUCCAAUUUCAUUUUAAAUUAUUUAUCUUCUUUCCUACCAAUAAAAGAGUCACCUAGCAAAUCAAGUUUUUGUUCUUGUCAGUUAGGAAAAGCUAAAAAACUACCCUUUAGUGAUUCUCAAAGACAAUCGGCCAGACCUUUAGCCUUGAUUCACACUGAUGUCUGGAUAUCUCCUGUUACUUCAGUAGGGGGAUGUCGAUAUUAUGUUUUAUUCAUUGAUGAUUUUAGUCGCUUUACAUGGAUGUAUCCUAUGCGUUUUAAAAGUGAUGUUUUUUCCAUAUUUCAACAAUAUAAAGUUCUUGUUGAAAAUUUAUUCUCCUGCACAAUUCAACAACUACAAUCUGAUAAUGGUGGAGAAUACUUAUCAACAGAGUUUCAGAAUUUUUUAGCUAAACAUGGAAUAUUUCAUCGCUUGACAUGUCCCUAUACAUCCCCACAAAAUGGAAUUGCUGAACGUAAACAUCGCCAUAUUCAAGAAAUGGGAUUGACUUUAUUAGCACAAGCUUGUCUUCCAAACUGUUAUUGGGUAGAUGCCUUCUUUACUUCAGUAUACCUGAUCAAUCGUUUACCAACGAAAGUCCUUAAUAAUAUCACACCUUACUUUGUUCUCCAUAAAACUAUGCCUCGCUACUCUGACUUGCGCACCUUUGGUUGUGCAUGUUAUCCUUAUCUCAGACCAUAUGAAAAACAUAAGUUAGCUUUUAGAAGCAAACAAUGUAUUUUCUUAGGAUAUUCCAGUCAGCAAAAAGGUUAUCGGUGUUUAGAUUUUGCUACAGGCAGGGUGUUUAUUUCCAGGCAUGUUGUUUUUGAUGAAGACACUUUCCCUCACUUGGAUAAAAGUCAUUCUUCUGCCACUCCUACGAGCAACCAAUCUUCAGGUAUUACUCUUCCUUCUAAAUUAAUUCCUUUAAUUUCUCAUGCUCAACAUUUCAAUUCUACUCCACCAGUUAUAGUUUCCAAUUCUACUGCAACCGAAAGUCCUCCUUCUACUGCAGGUCCAUCCUUACCACCUUCCACAAUUGCAACUCCAAUUCCUACACCUUAUUCCACCGAACAUGUGUCAUUAUCUGAUUCUAGUUUUGUCCUGUCAUAUCCCUUGUCCUGUCUUCUCCAAUAUUGCCUUCUCCUACCGCUCCUGUGUCCUUAGCUGAUCCUGUUUCUUCUCCUGCAAUGUCUUCUGAACUGCCUAGACAGAUGGUUACCAGAUCUCAAAGGGUAGUCUUAAGCCUAAAGAGUUCCCUGGUUUUAAAACUUUUUAUUCUACCCGACAUCCGCUACGUGUUUUAUAUAGUAUAGUCAUUGAAUCUGAACCUACUUGUUUCACAAAGGCAGUAUCCAAUCCACAUUGGAAAGCAGCAAUGGGACGUGAAUUUGAUGCGUUACUGGCAAAUAACACAUGGUCUCUCUGUCCUAGACCUUCACAUACACAUGUUGUCAGAAAUAAAUGGGUGUAUAAGCUAAAGAGACAUCCUGAUGGCAGUAUAGAUCGCUACAAAGCAAGACUUGUAGCCAAAGGAUUUGAACAAAUUCCUGGUAUUGAUUACUUUGAUACUUUUUCACCAGUAGUAAAGCCUACUACCAUCAGAUUAAUCCUCUCUCUUGCAGUCUCAUUCAAAUGGAAUAUUCGGCAAUUGGAUGUUUCCAAUGCCUUUCUGCAUGGUAUACUCGAUGAAGUAGUGUACAUGGAACAACCGAAAGGUUAUGAAGAUCACAUCUUUCCUGAUCAUGUAUGCUAUCUACACAAGUCUAUUUAUGGCCUCAAACAAGCUCCUCGAGCUUGGUUUAAAUGCCUCUCACAGCAGCUGAUUGACUUUGGUUUUUCAGAAUCCAAGAUGGACUAUUCACUGUUUACAUAUAAUUCUGACGAUUUAUGUAUUUUUGUGUUAGUAUAUGUUGAUGAUAUCAUAAUCACAGGAUCUGACAAUCAAGCAAUUCAUUCUUUUAUUGAUCAACUACAGAUCGUGUUUCCCAUUAAAGACCUGGGGGAAUUAAGUUUCUUUCUUGGUGUUGAAGCCAUUAGGAACCAAGCUGGUUUACAUCUGCGACAGACAAAGUAUAUCACUGAUUUGCUCAACAGUACCUAUAUGCUUGGUGCAAGGCCUCUUCGUUGUCCAUCAUCUUCUGGCUCAAAACUCUCAUCUACUGCUGGUGAACUGUUAGAAAAUCCAACUGAAUAUCGGCGAGUUGUAGGGGCUCUUCAAUACUGCACAAUCACACGACCGGAUAUUUCCUACUCAGUAAACCAGUUAUGCCAGUUUAUGCACUCUCCACGUGAACUUCACUGGGUAGCUGUUAAGCGUGUCUUACGCUAUCUUAAAGGUACUGUCGAGUUUGGUCUUCUUUACACUCUAGGACCAAUCACAAUGCAUGCCUUCUGUGACUCUGAUUGGGCAGGCAAUCCUGAUGACAGGCGGAGCACCAUCGGUUAUGGUGUGUUUCUUGGCUCUAAUCUUAUAUCUUGGUCCAGCAAAAAGCAGAGUGUUGUCUCUCGAUCUAGCACAGAGGUUGAAUAUAGAAGCAUGGCUCAUACAACAGCUGAAUUGUACUGGCUUCGCAUGCUUCUUCGAGAAUUGCAUAUCACGUUAUCUACUGCUCCAAGCUUAUAGUGUGACAAUGUCAGUGCUAUUGCAUUAGCUUCUAAUCCUGUCUUUCAUUCACGCACCAAACACAUUGAAAUUGACUACCAUUUCGUCAGGGAGAAGGUGGUUAAUCAUGAUGUUCAAAUUCUGCAUACCUCCACCCAAGAUCAAAUCGCUGAUGUCUUUACAAAAAGUCAUACUGCAAAUCGUUUUUGUUUUCUCAGAGACAAACUGUGUGUCUGUCUUCUUCCCCACAGUUUGAGGGGGUUGUUAGAGUAUUGAAUAGCAUAACAACGUCAACAAAAUCAGGAGCAGAAUCAAGCAUGAGAGAAAGAUCAGAGGAAGAUCAGAAGAAGAUGAAUAAAGAUAAUCUAUUAUAGUUUCAAAUCUGUUAUAGUUUCAAAAUUCAAAUACUUAUCCUAUCUUUAAGAUUGUACGCUAUAUAUAUAUAUAUAUAUGCACACCGUAAAUAAUAUUGUAUGCAGAGAAUAUAAUUUUUCUUCAUCUUCUGUCAACGUCUAUUGUUAGUUUCUUUAACUCUUUCAGAGAUUACAGGCACUUGACAUAAAUUUAGUCAUAUAAAAUAGAGCGAUCAUGUUUGUGUCAUGUCAUGCUAUCAUAGACAACUAAUGUAAUUCCCGCAUUAAUAUAUAAUUACAAUGAUGUGAUUGCGUAGUUCUUGUAAAUAAAGGCUGAUUGACAGAUGCAAAGAAGAAUAUUUUGAGAGGGAGGAAAAAGAAUAACCAGAGUGAGCAUUUUACUUGGAAAUUAGGAUAUCAAAAUGAUCUAGAAUAUAUAAAUAUAUUAAAUUUAAAAAAUUAAAAAUUAAAAAUUAAUUUUUUUAAAAACAAACAAAAAAUAGUGUCAAUACGUAAACUUCGGUUCGUGUAUGAAAUUAGGAUUGAUACUAUAUUUUUGAAUUUUUUAAUUUAAAAUUAAUUUUUUUAUAUUUUUAUAUGAUUUUAAUAUAUUAAUAUUAAAAAUAAAUUUUAAAAAUUUUAAAAAAUAUAUUUUAAAUCAUAUCCGGUACCAUAUUUCCAUAAUAUGUUAUCCGGACGGUUGUUUUCUAGGAUUUUUUUUUUAAUUUCCCCCCUAAAAUCUGGAAUUUUCUGCUAUUUUUUUUAAUUUCCUGUAAAUAUUGACGAUGCAAUGGAUGCUAUUUUUUCUGCUUUGUAAAUUUGUUGAGCCAUUUAUUAUUGUUAUUAUAAUUGAUUUAAUAAUAACAUAUGAAAUGAGAUUCUUUUAAUUUCAAUUCUAGUAAUUAAAUAAGCUAGUUUCUAGCCCAUAUAGGCCAAUUAAUUUAUUGGUAUAACAUAGAAUUUAACUUAAAUUCCCAGCCAGCCAAAUGCGUCAGGUGAGUUAACAGGAAAAAAAUUAAAAUAAUAUCAUUUUAAAAAUAAUUAAAAAAGUAAAAUAAUGUUACUUUAUUUCUUUAAAAAGAAAACACAUUUAGUUUUUAUAAAAAUAACCUAUCAAAUUGCUAGAUUUAAAACUCUCACCUAAUUUUUUAAAAUUUAACUUGAUCUGGUUCUCGAGUCGCAUGAAUUUCAACUCAACAUAUAGAGUUACAAUCUUGAGUUUGAGUCCCUGUGCAUUGGAUCAAAUUUAAUAAUACUAAAUUUAAGUAUUCAUAUCAACAUCUAGUGUUUAAUUUAAAUAAAAAAACAAUUAGUGUCUAUGCAUAUAGUUAACCAUCUAAAGGGGAAGAGGGAAGAGGGACCACUGGCUCUCAUUUGGUGACUUGUGUGAUAUCAUGGGUUAGACUAAAAACUUUUUAACCCAAAAAAAAUUAAAAGAUAAUUAUAUUCUUAAAGAAAUGAAAUUUAAUAAAUAAGUUAAAUCUUUAUUAAUUCAAUAAUUUAAUAAAAAAUAAAGCAAUAACAAUAAAUAAAUAAAAUAUUAUCCUGGAUAAACUUAAACUAACAUUUCAAACUCAUAACUUGGACAUGAAAUAUAUCUAAAUUACAUGUUUAUUAUGUAUAUUAGACAAUGAGAUCGAGAUAAUUUAAUAGAAAAAAAUUAAAAAAAAUCAUAAAAAUAUAUUUUUUUAAAAAAACAAUGUCGAAUAACAAUAUCAGAAAAGAAAAUAAGACAAAAAAGAUGUCAAUCCCCAUUAAAAUAAAUUAAAAAAUAAAUAAAAAAUAAAAAAUAAAUUACAGACAUCAAUAUAUAAUAAAAAAAAAAAAUCGAACAUGCAGAAGAUUAUACAAAUUUUGCAUGAGCUAUGCUUAAGACCAAUAUAUAGAUCUCACAACCGAUUCCCACUGAUUCGUUUAUAAGAUUAACAACGGGCUGUGCUCAUUCAAUUUUCUUUUAUAUAAUACAAAUAAUUUAGGGUUCAAAGGUUAAUGCUUAAUUUGGCCUGUAUACUUUAAAUUUUGUUCUAGUUUAGGCAACCUAUUUUUAUUUGUAUUAAUAUCACCCAAAUCCAUAGUGUUACUUUGACUUGACUUGAAAAUAUGAGGGACUAAAAUCAGAAAAGUGAAAGAUUACAGUUUAAUUAAAAAUAUAAAAUAAAAAGUCGAGUUAAUUAAAAUUUAGUUCUUAGAGUUUAUAAAAAAUAAUAAUUAAUUAGUUCUUAUAGUAUGAGAAAUAAUUAAAUAAGCCUUUCACUAAUUUUGACCAUCCUCGAUUCAAUAGUUUUUAUUCCAAAAAUACUUUAUUUCAUAAUAACACCUUUUCAUUUUACUUAUUUAUAUUUUCUUUAUUCUUUUUCUUCCCAAAAAAUUAAAUUUAAAACGAACAUAAAAUAGAUAAAAUCACUAAAUUAUCAGCAAAUUUAAAAAUAUAAAUAUUAAAUUUAUAAUUCCUAAGACUAUGAGUAUUAAUUAAGUACUUUUGUUAAACUACAAGGACCAAGUUAUAAUCUUUUCAGAAAAGUCACCACAACACUACUGCUGAACUGGAGUUUAACUUCUUCUGACACGUGUUAUUUGCGGGCCCAUUCUCUCUCUCAUUAUACGCUACCCAGGUGGUUUUGCAGAUCUAACACGUAUCCACAAGCUAAGCAUCACCUCCAUUUGUUUAUUAAAAAUAAAAGUUCCAUUAUUAUAUAUAUAAAAAAUGCUCGUUAAGAUUUUGAAAAAAAAAAAGGUAAGAGUUAACCAAAUUAAACUUGAGAAACACCUCGUUAUUUAGCUUUUGAAAAAAGUUAAAAAUAAUUUCAUUCUAUUUUUUUCAAAAUUUUAAAAUAACAUUUUUUAAAAUUAACAAUUCAUACUGCCUGAUCUGAGCCUUAAUUAACUUUACUUUCACUAUUUAUCAUUUAGUGGAGCUAAGGUGCAUAGUUUUAAAACCCGGACCGGUCUGGCGGGUCGACCCGGGAUCUGGCCGACCCGGGCAUGAAACCGGUCCGGGCGGAGGCCAAAACCCGCUUGGGAAUUGGCCCAGCCAGACCCGAUCGACCGGGACCCGGUUGACCCGGCAAGACCCGGCCACAAACUCGUUGACUUUUAUUUUUUUUUUGUUUUUUUUUUUGCUAAAACGACGUCGUUUUGAUUUUUUUUUUUUUAAAAAAAAAAAAAUUUGACCCGGCGACCUGGUAACCCGGUCAAAACCCGGAACCCAAGCCUUGGACCGGGCCGACCACCGGGCCGGAUCUUAAAACUAUGCUAACGUGAGUCAGCUCCCGUGUAUUUGUUAUAAUAUUUACUUUCACUGCCUCCCAGGUAGCUGUUAUAAUAUUUAAAUAGGAGCUAAUCAUAACUUAUUCACCGAAAAAUUAACUAACUAAUCUUAUGUUUUUAGAAAUUAAAAAUUCAUCACUUAUGUUUUUUAAUUUAUCUAUAUUUUAAUAUUUUUUUCUGUAUUUCUUCUUUACAAAAUAGAAAAAUAAAAAAUAUAAUGUAGAAAAUAAAGGAUUUUUUUAUAUAAAAUGAUAUUAAGCAUGAAGAUAUUAUUUAUCUUGUUUUUAAUAUUAUAAAAAUUAAUUAACUUAUUUUGAUAGAUUAUAGAUAUUUGGAUAAACUUAUUUUAUCGGUGAUUGGGAACGAAGCAUUAAGUUAUAUUAUAAAAAAUAAGAUUUUAAUGAAUUCCCUAAAUCCCUUAAGUUAUAAUAUAGAAACCUACCUCUUGCUUAGCACAACAUUAUACUCUAGUAUAUACUAAAACGCAUCAGGUUUUAUCGUGGACUGUACAGUACAGUCUACAGUAAAAUAUUUUUUAGUUUUUUUAUUUAUUUUUUAGUUGUUUUUUUUUUUUAUGUAUUUCAGGUUUUGUUUUUUUUCUUUUAAUAAUUGUUUUUGUUCAAUUUAGUUUGUUAAUUUUAAUUUUUUUUUAUUUAGUUAUCAGACUUUCAUGAUAUGAAUUCAGGAUUUAAUAGGUUAACCUGGUUUAACGAGUUAACCUAGAAUUUUUUUUUAAUUAAUUUUUUUCGUUUAUUUUCGUUUGUUAAUGUUAAAUUUCUUUCUAUUUAGUUAUCAGACUUUCAUGACACAUAUCUCAGGUUUGACGGUUAACCCAUCAUUUUUUUUUGUUUUAAUAAUUUUUUUAUGUAAUUUAGUUUGUUAACGUUAAUUUUUUUAUUUAGUUAUCAUACUUUCAUGACACAGAUCCCGAGUUUAACAGGUUAACCAGGUUUGACGAGUUAACCCAUAAUUUUUUUUCUUUUUAAUUAAUUUUUUUUUCGUUUGGUUUAGUUUGUUAAUGUUAAAUUUUUUUCUAUUUAGUUAUCAAACUUUCAUGACACGGAUCUCGGGUUUGUCGGGUUUGACAAGUUAGCCCAGUUAAUUUUGCGCUAACCCGUUAUUUUUUUUUCCUAUUUUGUUAUCAAAGUUUCACGACACGAAUCUCAGGUUUGAUGGGUUAACCUAGUUUGAAGGGUUAACCCAGUUAAUUUAUUUUUUUUCUUUUUCUUCAUUAGUUUUUUUUCUUAUUGCUGGUUUUUUUUUCUUUAUUUUUUUUAAUUAAUCCAUUUAAUUAUCACGCUUUUAUGACACGACCUUCCAGCCAAACCAACAUCCAAAGCUAUUGGAUCCGGUAUUGCAACCAGACCCACUUAAACCUGGGUCAUGCAAGUUUAAUGAUAUUAAUAAUAUUAUAAAUAUUACUUUUGGGUCAGGUGUUGUAGUCAAAUCCAAGAUUUUUAGGUAUAAUCAUGCAGAAAGACCUAAUACUCUUAGAUCUUAGCUUUUUUUAAUAUUUUUUAUGUAAAAAAAUAAUAAUAACUUUUCAAUAAUUUAUUUUUUUUCAUAAUUGAAUCAUCAUCUCAAGUUAUUAACUAACCACGAUGAUAAAUUGGAGCGUCUAAAGUAUAUUUUACAGGCAAGUGCAGGUAGCUAGCUAGUCAUUGGUCAUGGGUCUUGUCAUAUUUGCCCCCUUCGCAAAGUGACAAAGUUAGUGUGUACCCACAAAUCAAAAGUUGCGCGAUUUCUUUUCCAGGGUAGCCUUCUUUAUCUCAAAGAAAUUAAUUGUGAAUGCCUACGAGAAAAGAAGAAAUCAACAGUGAAAUGAAUAGUGCAAGUGUGUAAAUCUGAAUUGUUAUUGUCUCAUGGUGCGUGCCUAUUGUGUUUCUUUUUUAUCUUUUUGCAGGUGGAGCCGGAGGUUAUCCGACUGGGAAGCAAUGGUGGCGGUACAAGCAGCAGCAGCAGAGGAGUGUGGAGGCAUUAUGGUGAUGCUGGUGGUGGGGCAUGGAAACCAGCCUUGCAGAUUAUUGCAGGAAUUGGAACUUGAAAAGCACUACCACCUCCACCAUUGACAUAUGAUGAAGGGGAAUGCAAUGUACAUACGUGUACCCUCUAUAUUAUAUGGAUUGUUGGGAUAUAAGAAGUCUUGGGUUAUUCAGAGUCAUUCUUCUUUCUACAGUUUUCUUCAAGAUGUGGACAUCCCUCAAUCUGCAACCUCUUUAAUUUGGAGAGGCGUUGAAUGGCUGUUGAACUUGGCAUAUACUUGAGAUUCUUGCAAUCAUAAAUAUAAAGAGAUUGAAGAGAAGAAAGGUUGGCCAACCAUUCUCGAAAUGUUUCCUCAAAUCCUUUACCGUUGAAAUUAAUUAUCCACAAUAUCUCGAGGGCAGUGAAGUGUUGAAGUUGGUGCGGUACGCUCUUCAGUUUAUCCCAUCCACAUAUCCCUAGGUGUUUGAGGGACCCACUCAAGUUGAGGUGAUGGAAUGAGUUUAAAACUCCUGCAGGAAAAGCCUCCAUCUCCUCUGAGAAACCACCGAUGCCUAGUCCCUUCAGUUGGGUGAGGCCGCUGCCUAAGCAAUCAUCCUCUGGGAAAUCACUCAAACACCGACACCAACUGAUUUCUAAAAAAUCAAGAGAAGUCAAUUGUCGUAAAUCAAAACUGAUGAGCUUAUCACAAUAACUUAUUCUAAUCUUCGAAGUGAAGACAAUUCUUGUAAAUCACUGAUAUGGAUAAGCUCUCUCCAAUCACUUAUUACUAAAUGCUCUAGAGAUGCGCAACAUUGUAGUACGCUUGGAAGAGCUCCCAAUUUACACCCAUUAACAAUCAGUUUCUUCAAAGAAUAUUUCAAUUCUCGAAAAUCACCAGGAAUUGAGAUCAACUCACAGCAGCCAUGUAUAAUCAAUUCCAUCAGAGCUGUGCAGUGUUGUACGCUUGGAAUGGAUGCCAACUUCUCACACCACCGUAUACUCAACAACCGAAGAGACGUGAAGCCAUGAAACUCACCACGUAAAUAUCUCAGCUCAUUACAUCUGUAAAUUUCAAAUUCUACAAGAGAUGAAAGACGACAUAUCGGAAUACCUUUUAACUUUCCACACUUCUCAAUGCUCAACUUUUCAAGACAAGGAAAUACUUGAUCACCUUCUCCACUUGGUACCAUCCAUUCUUCAAGACCAUCCAUUUUGGACAGAGUGAGUUCUUCCAGUUGUAGAAUUCCUACGUGAGGAAUGUAAAGAACAAUAUGUAAAAGAAGAUUUUGAUAGAUCAGGAGAAUGAAGACUCUUGAAUUGAAAUCAAGAGGAAUAUAAUAUCUUGAUUAUCUGCAUGCAGAGGUUUUACUCUGUACAAAUUGUUGAAUUACAGACUGAUUGAAUGAAUGAAUAUAUACACAUAUUCCACUACAAGAUUUAACAGUUUUACCGACGGAAUUUUUCCGUCGGCGUAAGACACAUACUCCAUCGGUAAUUAAUUUACCGACGAAAUCACCGACGGAUAAUUUUCGUCGGUGAAUCUUUUGUCGGUAAUUUUUUGUCCGUCGGUAAUAAUAUUACCAACGGAUUUACUGGUGGAACAGACGUGUCGGUAAAUUUUUUUUUAUUAUCGACGGAUUUACCGACGGAAAUUUCCGUCGGUAAAUCCGUCGGUAAUUAUUUAAAAACAUUUUAAAAAAAAUUCAUUUUAUAAAAUUAUAAAAUAAUUAAAUUAACAUAAAUCAACAUUGUAUAAUAUAUACUCAAAAUGCUUGGAAAAAAGAAUAAGAAAAUCAACUCAAAUAAAUAAAACAAAAAAAUUAAUCAACUAAAAAAAUUCAUAUGAAAAAAAUGAAGUUGCAAUUGCUAAAAUUUAAAAAAUCCUAUAAAUAAAUCAACUAAAAAUUGAUCUCAUAUGAAAAAAAAAAUCUCACAACAACAUUUAUACAAUUAUUAUAAACAAAAUCAAUUAAAAUUAAAUAAAAAAACAAAUAUAGUGAAAAAAAUCAUGAAAAAAAUAAGAAAAAAGAAAAAUCUUACCUUAAUAUACUUGCAAGUGAAGCUAAGGAAAAAAAAAUUCGUAAAACAUAUUAAUUAAAAAAAACUAAGAGGAUAAAAGAAGAAAGAAGAAGAAGACAUACCCGAGCAUGGAGGAAAAGAGAAGAAGAUGAGGAGAGAAAAGAGAGAAAGAAAUAGAUAUUGAUGUUUUUUACAUAUAGUGAAGAAGAAGAAGAAGAAGAAGAAGAAGAAGAAGAAGAAGAAGAAGAAGUAGAAGCAGUAGAAGAAGAAAAAGAAAUAAUGAGUCUGUCUCUUGUGAAAUAAGCGCAUUCGAGUUUUUUAUUGGGGCGCGUUACCGACGGAUUUACCGACGGAUAAUUUAAUAUUAAUAUUUUUUAAUUAUUCCGUCGGUAAUAUUUAAUUUAAAUUUUCAAUUUCGUAAAAAGUUUUCAGAAACCGCAAAAAAUUACCGAUGAUUUUUCAAUCCGUCGGUGAUUCCGUCUGUAAUAUUUAAAUGAAAAUUUUAAAUCAAUUGAAUUUUUUCAAAAAACCGCCAAAACACACCGACGAAUUUUCAAUCCGUCGGUGAUUUUGUCCGUAAAGUAAAACAAUUAACAGUGCAAUUGGAAGAUGAACAGUUCUGGAGCUCUCUGGAAAAUACCGAUGGAAAAUUCCGUCGGUAAUUCCCUUUGUAAUUGACAUGAUGAACAGUGUUCACAGUUUACCAACGGAUUUCCCGACGGAUUUACUUACGGAAUUACGGACGAAAUAAUUCCGUCGGUAAUUUCGUCGGUAAAAAAUGACACGUCGUCAUUUUUUUUUCUUUGUUUUAAUUUUUUUUCCCCACGGUAAUUCCCUCGGUAUAUACCGAGGGAAUAUUUCCAUCGGUAAAAUCCCUCGGAAAUUUACCGACGGAAAUAUUCCCUCGGUAUUUCCGUUUGUAUUUAUUGAUUUUCUGGUAAUGUUCUAACGUAAAAAUCUCAACUAACUUUGUACGGUUUAUAACAAACUUUUAACUAACUAACCCUUUUAACCGUAUUUACAUAUAUAUGUAUAUGAAGACUGCAGAAUAGAAUGUCUUCUAGGGUGUUGUGAGCAGUAAUGCUUCAGCAGGCUGUGGAUCUUCUUCUGAUUGAUUACGUUGUAUAGAUAUGGUUGUUGUAGAUUCCAAUAUCCCCCCUUAAGAUGAGAAUGAAUAUUUAUCAUUCCCAUCUUGCUAAGGAUAGGAGUAAGGGUGAGAUAACCGAGUGGUUUUGUGAGGGCGUCCGCGAGUUGAUAUUUGGAAGGGAUAUAAAUGAUGUUGAGCAACCCCUCCUGCAAUUUUUCACGGAUGAGAUGGCAGUCAAGUUGGAUAUGUUUAGUGCGUUCAUGGUGAACAGGAUUAGAGGCAAUAUUGGAAGCAGGUUUGUUGUCUGUAUAGAGGAGGGUAGGCUGGGAGUGUGGAAUAUGAAAAUCGGCCAACAAAUAAAACAGCCAUUGAAGUUCACAUGAUGUGGUGGCCAAUGCUCGAUAUUCAGCUUCUACAGAGGAUCGACUAACCGUUGGUUGUUUCUUUGAUUUCCAGGAGAUGAGUGAAUCGCCAAGAAAAACUAAGUAGCCAGUGACACUACGUCUAGUAUCAAUGCAACCAGCCCAAUCACUGUCAGAGUAUGCUUUUAAGUGAAAUGUAGAAUCAGUUUUGAGAAGCAAUCCUUGACCUGGUGUUGCUUUAACAUAGCGAAGGACUCGUUAUGCAGCUUGGAGAUGUGUGGUAUGAGGAUUGGACAUGUAUUGGCUAAGAGUUUGGACGUGUGAUUGUGAGAUAAAGAAGUCUGCCAAUUAAGCGACGAUAAGAUGCAGGGUCGGAGAGAGUGGGACUAGUAUCAUGGGCACUGAGUUUCAAUGUGGAUUCCAUGGGGAAGCUGACUGGUUUAGCUCCAGAGAAGCCACUAUCGACUAGGAUAUCUAAGGCAUAUUUGCGCUGACACAGAAAAAUUCCUUUUGCAGAUCGAGCAACUUCAAUGCCUAGAAAGUAUUUGAGUUUUCCCAAAUCUUUGAUUGGAAAAGUCUGGUGGAGGAAUUGUUUAACUUGGUUGAUGGAUGUGAGGGUGUUGGAAGUGAUGAUAACAUCAUCAACAUAGAUCAAUAAUGCAAUGAAGGUGGUGGUUGUUUUUCUGAUGAAUAAACUGGAAUCGGAUUUAGCUUGGACAAACCCAAAGAGCAAUAGAGAGGUAGACAGUUUAGAGAACCAUUGUCUGGAUGCUUGUUUGAGGCCAUAUAAGCUCUUUUUGAGUUUGCAAACACGAGGAUCAUGAGGAGUGGAGUAACCAGAGGGCAAUUGCAUGUAUACCUCUUCAUGCAAGUCACCAUGUAGGAAGGCAUUGUCUACAUCAAGUUGGUGUAAAUGCCAAUUGUUCACUGCUGCAAUGGUGAGAAAGACUCUAACGGUUGUCAUCUUGGCCACAGGGGAAUAUGUAUCAAAGAAAUCAAUUCCUUCUUGUUGUGUGUAGCCCUUAGCUACCAAUCUGGCCUUGUAGCGUUCAACCUGUCCAUCAGCUUGGAAUUUGAUUUUGUACACCCAUUUGCAGCCAAUGAUAGAUUUGUUAUAAGGCAGAAGGACUAAAUCCCAGGUAUUGUUUUGUUCAAGGGCUUUAAUUUCAGCGGUCAUUGCUUGAUGCCAAUGGGGAAUAGAGCGAGCUUGGUUAUAUGUUUUUGGUUCAAAAGCCAAAGAAACAGAAGAAGUGAAAGCUCGAUGAUGAAAAGAUAAUUGAGAAGUAGAUAAGAAAGAUAAGAAUGAGUAUUGCAUACCAGGGAUGGAGCAAGUGGAAGAGCUUGGGUUUACUGAAGGAAUCCGAGUCAUAUGUCCACAAUAGUAUUGUUGUAAGUAAUGCGGUGGAUGUUUAGGUCGUGCAGACCUUCUGGGUUGGGAAGUAGUAUCCUGAGGUAAGGUAGCAGUGGGAGGAGCAGAGGUUAUUGGAAGAUCAGAAUGGGGUGGAGUGGAUUGGGAUGGCGUGGGAGUAAAGGUAUCAAAAAUUUGAGGAAAGUCAGGAAAGACAAGGGGUGUGUGGACUGUGUUUGGUAUUGAUGGGAAUGUAGAUUCAUGAAAAUAGACAUUGCGAGAAAUGAAAGUUUUGCAUGUUGUUAAAUCAAGUAGUUUGUAUCCUUUAGUGUGAGGGGGAUAGCCUAAAAAAAUGCAUUUGGUGGCUCGGGGGUGAAACUUUCCUCUAUUGUGAGUGAGUGUGCUGGCAUAACACAAGCAACCGAAAACUUUGAGGUGAUUAUAAGUUGGUGGUUUAUUAAACAGAAGUUGGUAUGGUGUUUGGUGGUGUAAAAUAAGUGAGGGAGUGCGGUUGAUGAUGUGUGUUAAAGUAAGGAUGCAAUCGGUCCAGUAGGUUAAGGGGAGUUUUGAUUGAAACAAGAGGGAUCUAGCUACAUUUAGUAAAUGUUGAUGCUUCCUUUCAACUCUUCCAUUUUGUUCGGGUGUUUCAACACAAGUGGUUUGAUGGAUGAUGCCAUGAUCUUGAUAAAAAGUAGGCAUAUUAAACUCUUGUCCAUUGUCUGUUCGGAUAGUCUGAAUUCUGGUGUUGAAUUGAGUAUGAACAUAUAUUAGAAAGUUUUGGAGAAGACCUCUAGUUUCAGCCUUGGUUUUCAUUAAAAAAAGCCAAGAAAAUCUAUUGUAGUCAUCAACAAUUGUGAGAAAGAAUUGAUGACCAGAAUAUGAAGUAACAGAGAAGGGUCUCCAAAUGUCAAUAUGAAUUAAUUGAAAUACUUUUGCAGAUGUAUGCAUGGAUAAGGGAAAGGGCAGCCGUUUUUGCUUAGCUAAGGGGCAAAUGUCACAAAUGGUUUUGCCUGUUGAAGUAACUGAAGGAUCAAUUUUAUUAAGAAGGUUGAGUUUUGAAACAGGAAUGUGGCCUAAAUGUAAAUGCCAAAAGUCAGUGGCAGCAUUACAAGAGUUGAUUAAAAGUCUAGGGGAUGUGUUUGCUGUAGACUGGUUAGGGGGUUUGUGAAUGUGAUAAAGACCAGAUUCAGUUUCAGCAUGCCCAAUCAUCCUCCAUGUGCUUAGAUCCUACAGAAAACAUUUUGUGUGAAGAAAGAACAAACCAAUAGUGUUGUUAGCGGUUAGUUUUGAAACAGAGAUAAGAUUAAUAUUGAAGGAAGGUACAUAAAGAGCAUUCUUUAAAAUAAUAUUGGGAGAGAAUGUAACUGUUCCUGUAAAAGCAAUAAUCACCUUGUGGCCAUUUGGUAAAUGAACAUGCCUUUGUAUUUUAGGCAGUAGAAUAGACUUGAAAAGAAUGGGGUUGCAGAUCAUGUGAUUUGUUGCCCCUGUAUCGAGAAUCCAAGUAAACUGGUUCUGAGGUGAAGAAUUAGUGUGACAAGAAAAUGAUAUACCUGAGAUAGAUGCUUGCUCCUUAGCAUUGUGAUGUAGCUUACAGUUGGAAAUGCUAUUUGCAAGAGUAAGUAGAUUCUGCAUUUCUUCUUGAGAGAAAACAAUGUUGGGAGGUUCUUGUUUUGGUUCUGAAACAACAAUAUUAUGUGCAAUAGGUGGUGUUUGAUCAUUUCUAUUUGUAUGUGGUAUUGUAGCAAAUCUUUUUCCUUUUGGCCCCUUCCAUCCAGGGGGAUAUCCAAUAAUCUGAAAACAUUUAUCAAUUAUGUGUCCUGGAUAUCCAUAAUGGGAGCAAGUUGUCUCAGAUUUUCCUUUUUGUUUUGCAAAGCGUGUAACAUAUGUUGAACCUGACCUAUGAUUUGGAUUGUGGUAUUGUCCAGCAGCCAUGGCUUGUGAAUCAAUAGAAAUUCCUACAAUAUUCGUUAGGGACCUUUGGCUUUCUUCUUGUAGAAGUAGAGAAAAUACUUUCCCCAUAGAUGGUAGGGGAGUUUGAAGCAGCAAUUGGCUUCGGACUGCAGAGAAUGAAUCAUGGAGUCCUACCAGAAAUUUCAUCACAUAAUCUGAUUGUUGUCGAUCUGUUAGAUGCUUUAGAAUGUUACAAGAACAGGAAUCAAGAUUUCCACAUUUGCAGUUUGGUAUUGGACGAAAACUAAUGUAUUCAUCCCAUAGGGCCUUGAAUUCGCUGAAGUAGUUUGUAAUAGUUUUGGAGUUCUGAGAAAUAGAGCUUAAGGACUUCUCUAAACUGAAAACUCUUGGUCCAUCACUCCUCAGAUUGUUAGCAUAGGCAGUAGUUGUUAUUGAUAGAAAUACAGCUGAAAUAGGAGUGUAAUUAUAGGAUAAGUAUCUUCCUAUACUUUAGGCCUAAAUUAUAGGAAUGUGACAUAAAUCAGGAUUGAUGUAAAUCAGGAUUCCUUCCUAUUUAAGGAACGGGACUCUCAUGUAAAAGGCAUUCAAACUUUUAGAAAAACAGAGAGUGUAUUCAGCCAAUUUUGUCACAGAUAUCUAACUCUCAAUUCUUCCCAAAUAUCAUAGGCUGAUGUGAAGUAAAGAAGACUGAUGCGAAUAUCUUUAGCAAUAGAGUUCAUCAGCCAUGACAGUACAAGAUUAUUUGAUCUUAGCCAUGCCACCCGCAGUGAUUGAUUGUUGGUAAUUGGCUAUAUUAAAGAACCAUCAAUGAAGGAGAUUUUGUUCUUCACUGUUAAGGCAAUUGUCAUGGAUCUACUCCAUGCAAUGUAAUUUUCGCCUGUGAAAAUUUCUGAGACAAGAAGUGCACUGGGGUUAUCAGACGGGUGCAGGUAGUAGCAGCUGGAGGAAUCAUCAGAUAGAUUCAUAGAAAUGGUGUUGAAAGUUUCAUUGUGUGCUGUAGAAGCAUUUCCUUCAAGAUGAUCAGACAUGUUUGAAGUUUUGAGAAGAUCAAGAAGAUGAGAAAAAAAAAUGUAAGGUUUAAAGAAUUUCAAUCUUUCUGUUUAUGGUGAAGAAGAGUUUGAAGAGAAGAACAAUCUUUAUUGCUCUGAUACCAUGUAGAAUUCCUACGUGAGGAAUGUAAAGAACAAUAUGUAAAAGAAGAUUUUGACAGAUCAGAAGAAUGAAGACUCUUGAAUUGAAAUCAAGAGGAAUAUAAUAUCUUGAUUAUAUGCAUGCAGAGGUUUUACUCUGUACAAAUUGUUGAAUUACAGACUGACUGAAUGAAUGAAUAUAUACACAUAUUCUAACGUAAAAAUCUCAACUAACUUUGUACGGUUUAUAACAAACUUUUAACUAACUAACCCUUUUAACCGUAUUUACAUAUAUAUGUAUACGAAGACUGCAGAAUAGAAUGUCUUCUAGGGUGCUGUGAGCAGUAAUGCUUCUGCAGGCUGUGGAUCUUCUUCUGAUUGAUUACGUUGUAUAGAUAUGAGUUGUUGUAGAUUCCAAUACCAGUGCUGGAAAUAGUACAGCUGCACUGCCACUGCUGCUAUAGAACUCAUUGUCUAUACAUUUCACAGUACCCAUUUCACUCACCUUUAGAAUCUUAAGGCGAGGAAGACAUCCAAGUGUUGGGAGUUGCCUCAACUUGCUGCAGCCAUUCAAUCUCAGCACCGUCAGAUUAUUGAGUUGCAAUAUCAAUGAUGAGAAAUAUUCACCACUGUAACCCUUAAUUUUCAAGCUUUUUAUGUCUGGGUGAGGCUGCAGGCCUUCCAGCGCAUCCUCGAUGUUUACACUGUUGUUACCUUCAUCAUCACUCCAUUUAAACACCGAUUUGUUCAUUCUUUUUUCUCGCAGUUUUGCCUCCUCAGCUUCUUCUCUGUCUCUAACUUGCUCAAGCUUGCAUAUCUUCAAUGCUCCUCUUAGUUCAUUCAAACAUUUCAGCUCUUUAAUUUUAUGAUCUGGACCCACAACAAAAAUCGACAAUGUUUGAAGGCGUGUUAAGAGUCUCACCUCAGCUGGCACUAGCUUUGGAUCAUCAAAAUGGAGAUGUCUCAAGCUGACUAAAUUACUCAUUUUCUUGGGAAGCUUUUGCAUUGAGUGACAAUCAGUGAAUCUUAAUGUUUCCAAAUGGUAGAGCUUAGUGAUGGAUUCUGGCAAUUCUCUGAUACUGGUACGUGAGACAUCAAGAUAUCUCAAAUGUCUCAGCUUCCAAAUUGAAUCUGGUAACUCUGUGAUAUAAGACUUUUGCAAUUUGAGAGUUCUCAACCUUUUGAAUUUCCAAGACCCAUUGAAUACAUCAACCAUUGAGAAAACAGUUCGCAAUUUUCUAGCAUCAACCGCUGUUAAUUCUGCCUCAACAUCCCCACGAGAUGUGAGAUUUAGAUGACGAAUAUGAGAUGCGCCAUCAACGGCCGAAUUCGCCUCCAGAUUUAACACUUCUGAUUUUGAGACCUGGUGCCAUAUUCUCUCUGUUGUUUUUUUGUUUUUUGGGGGGGGUCAAAGAAGAAAUUUUGAGCACAAGAGAGAGAGAGAAGUAUGGUGUGAAAUAUUAAAAGAUGAAACGAAGUGUGUUUGGAAUGAUGAGAUACAGAGCAUAGUUGCAUGAGUUUGUUUACUGUUGCAAUUCUAAUGGCUAUCUUUUAUUCUAUGUAAUAGAAAAUCAGAUAUGCUUGGAGAAUAAUUUGCAAUUCUAUUUUUCCUUAUUGUAUAAAUAAUCAUAUUAAAAUUCAAUAAAGUGAGUGUUCUGCUGCAUCUACAAUAAGAAAGAUUUGUUCUCUCUUCAAUAUUAACAAGCACAAACAGUAAAAUCUUUGCAAGUAUUCCUUUUUUUCAAGUACUUCCCAUUCUCGUACCACUGCCUUCCCCACCUCCACGAAUGUGAGCAAAUAUAAAACUAUGAUUCUAUCUUAAUCUUAAAAUGACUUUCAUGACCUGUACAACUGAUGAGGCCAUUAUCCCAUAUCAUUAGAAAAUAAGGGUUUUGAUUGUUUAUAUGGCACUAAAAAUAUAUUUUUCAUUGUGAGAUGUCUUUUAAGAGACAAAACUUACUGGAAAUCAUAUAAAAAAAUACUUCAUGGUGCGCCUAUCAUGAUACAGAUAUGAUACAAAUAUGAACACACCUCAUUAACAUCCAUACCUAAAUCCAAUGGAAAUGACUAUUAAUGAAUAUGCAUGUCAUACUUGAUUCUAUCUUGAAUUAAAAAUUGCCCACACUAUAUAAAUGACCCCAGAAUGGGUUAAUGAGCUGUGUAACCUCACAAUAAUGUCCACCGAAAACCUUAAUGAUCUUAAGGUAAAACAACUUAGACUUAAAGGUAAGUGCCAAUAACUUAAACUUCUUUCAUAUUACCUCAUGUGAACCAUAGCCAUUAAGCAGCAACGGAUCAGAUCCAUCAAGCUUCACAAGAUUCUUCCUAUAGACUAUUGAUAUAGGGACCCGAGCUCCAUCAGAAGCAGUGGCCCAUUUCAUUUCAGUAGGCAUAUUCGGAUGCAUCAAAGCCCCCCAAGACCUGAAUAUAAUAGCUCCAAGUCUAACACAAAGAGAAAACUCAAAAAGUAAGAAGAAAGUUAUUCUACUCUCAAGUUGAUGCAAUCAAUCCUAUGCAUAAAUUGAAAUAGAAAACAAGUACCUUAGCAGGCCGAAGGAUCUCAGCCAUUGUUACAUAAACCAAAAUGUGAUUGUUAGCGCCCUCAACAUAAGAAGCUCCGGUAUGUGCAUCAAUGACAUGAGAAGUAUAAGUUUCAUCACCUUUUGUGUCUUAAGCAGAUGCAACCAACUUAUGAUUUGGACCAAGCUGAAGAAACAGAUGAAAGGAAGAAAACAUUGAACAAAAAUCAACAUACAAAUGCUGAACAUACUCCUUUCCCUCCAAAUUCCUUGUAUAGUAACAGUACGGACCUUUUCUAUAAGGCGCCCCUGAUUCUCCCCUCUUAUUUCUUUGAACAGCUGAUACUCAAAUAGCUUGGUUCCUAAAACACAUUAUACACUCCAUCAAUCCUUUUUUUUUUUUCCACACAAAGUGGUUUCUCAAUUUUCAAUGAAAACCAAAAUAUGAUUUCAUGAUCAAUACAUAAAAUCUGAUUCUUAAUAUAACCCUAUUGAAAUUUCAUAAAAUAAUGUUGAUAUAGUUUGGUCUAUCAUUUUUAUUUUCUAAAACAAUGUUGAUAUAGUUUUUAUUCUUUGUUUUUGACCCUAUCAAGAUAUUUUUUUAAUAUCAUGAUAACUAUAUAAAAAAUAAAUUAAAAUAAAUUAUUCUUUAAUUUCCAAUUAACACAUAAUAGUGGUCAUUUUGAGGUUAUAGUGUAAAUAAAAACUGCACGUAGUUAGUUACUGGACAAUGAGACCUGGCUUCAAUAUGUUUUGAAUGUCAUUGAAAUAGAAAAGCAUGACAAUGAGCUUAUAGAUUGUGAAAGUUAACAAAAUGCAAAUAAUGAGUAAUUGCCUGACAAUGAGCUUAUAGAUUGUGAAAGUUAACAAAAUGCAAAUAAUGAGUAAUUGCCUGACAAUGAGCUUAUAGAUUGUGAAAGUUAACAAAAUGCAAAUAAUGAGUAAUUGCCUUUCAAAUUUUGUUUGAGUGCUUAUGACUACAUUUAUUUACCAGAAAAGUUUAUUUUAAUCAUUUUUACCGGUUGAAUUCAUAAAAAUUCUUUACGAAAUCAUAUCUAUUUUUAAAAUACUUUUAAAGUAAAAAUAACACUCAAGUUGAAUUUCUCUAAUAAAAUAAAACCAUUUAAUAUAAAAAUUAACUGUUUUGAUGGUCAAAAUUAGUGCAAACGAUAUAUUUUGUUCUUUAUUUCUAGAAUCCAGUAAUUUCUUUUUUUAAAAAAACUAAAAAAUAACAAAAAUAAAUUUUAUAUCAAAAUUGAAUUAAAAAAUUAUUAAGGUACAGUAUAGGUAUAACUUGUAAGGUUUAAGAAAUAAAUUAAAUUUUUUUUAUGGAUUUUGACACAUUAUCCAUUUGUAGUGCUUUUUUAAAUCAUUUGUCUUUCAAUUUUUUUUAUUAGUUAACAGACUUGAUUCAAUUAUCCUUGAAAUUGACCAAAAAAUAAUACAUGUAAAAAAAAUAUUAGAAAAAGAAAUUGAAAUAAAUAUGGAAGUGUUGCUCAACUUUUGUUUUUUGAGUGUUUGAUUGUAGCUUUUAAAUUUUGUCUUUAUUUUAAGAUUUUUACAGUUUAGAUUAAUCUUUAUCUUAGGUUUAGAUUAAUUAAGUUGCUAUUUUCUUCUUGUGCAUGCAAAUCUUAUACCAGUAGAGAAAAACUUAAUAGAGAGGCUGUAAUGCCUUGCUCAGAUCACAUCAGCACUGCAAUUUAGACUUGAAUAAAAUUACUAUUAGGAUCAAACUGGCUCUAUCAUUCUCAGCAGCCACUUCUCAGCAAAUCAAAAUCUGUUUUUCCCCAUACAAAAAGAUAGCAACCUUAUGUGAAAAUCUUGAGAAAAUCCCAACUUUCUGUGUAUCUUAAUCAAAAUGAUUCAACUAGACAUUGAAAAGUAGCAUCUGAGCUUCAUUUUGAAACAUAGUUGAAUCAUUUCCAGCCACUUCUCCUGAAAACAUGGUGGGAUUUCUUGAAAGUUAUCCAUAUGUCGAUGAAACCAAACUUUCUAUUCAUGAAUCGGUAGAAAUCAAACGACAUAUGUGGAUAACAAUUGUUUUCUAUUCAUUGUGAAGAGUUGCUGCUUAUUUUUUUUUAUUUGGCUUCUAGGUUAAGUGUAUGAAGGAAAUGUUCUUUUCUGACAGUGACGAUAAUAAAAGGCUUGCUCAAUAAGAUGUGACGCAGAGCAACUGUGAACGAAUGGUAAUUAAUUAGUCAAAUUAGAUUUAUCCUCGGAAAAAAUCUUCACCAUCCGAGCAAUAAGUUUGAUUUCUCGUAACUUUCUGCCCUUAAAGUUGGGAUGAGGUCAACAUUAUUAUGUAGAAGAAACGUUUUAGCAGAAACUAAAUUAGAAAUAACAUAAUCCAUCAUAUUGUUCGAGCAAGUACUGACUUAGUUAAAAACUAGUUGCCAAAAAUAUUUUAAUUUUUUUCAAAAAUGAUACCAGAAAAAUAUGCUACCAAGUGCUUAAGAACUCAUGUGUCCCUCCGGAAGUUUUUCAUGCUACGGUAAAUCCUAAAACCGUCGUUUUCAGUGCAGCGCUAGACAUCCCACGCUACAAUGUCUUCAGAUAGAAAGGUAAGAUCUCUCAAAUCUCUGCAGAUCCAAAAUUUCAGCACAAAUAUAGAACGAUGUCAUUUGAUAAACAAUGACAGUGAUUGCCAUUCAAUUGUCAUUUGGUGCUCCUCUCUUUAUUCAAAGUCCGAUGGGUUUGUCUCAACAUGACGAUCCAUGUUCUUGAACUUACAUUAGAUUUUAUUUGUUAACAAAUUAAAUAGAAAUUAAAUGAGAAUAAAAUAAUUAUAUAAAAAAUAAAAAAAUAUAUAUAUUUGAAUCUCAAAAACAUAAGACAAAAGGAGUUAAUUAGUGUUAAUUUUUUAAACCAUGACCCGAAUUAUAAGACCGAAAACAUUAUAUAUGAAAAAUUCAUGAGGGUUAAAAUUACAUAAAUUAACAGCACAAAAAAAUCUAAAAUAAAAAAAUACAAUAAAAAUAAUGAGGGUUAAAAGUGCAAUAAAAUAUAAAUCAAAGGGUAACAAUAUUUUUAGGGUAUGUUUGGAAGUGUAGCAGAGAUUAUUUUUUAUAAAUUUUUAUUUGUUUGGAGAUACAUUAAAAUAAUAUUUUUAAAAAAUAAUUUUUAACAUCAAUAUAUCAAGAUCUAAAAAUAUAUAAAAAUUAGUUUUAAAUAAAAAAUAAAAUUCAAAUUUUCAUGCAGUUCGACUGCACUUUUAAAUAAACUUUUAAACUAUGUUUAUUUGCAUUGUUUAUGUGGUUUAAAUUGCACUUAGCUUGAAAAAACUAUAAAAAAUGAUGUUUUCCAAGUUUACUGCAUUCUGAAACAUGACAUUAGCACAUAGUUAGACAUGCAUUUACUAAGAUUAAUGGAGGUAUUUUGUCCUCAUCAAUGUAAAGUUUUAAACUCUUGCAAGCCUCUAGUUUCAUUUCCAAUGAAGACCGACCAAGUACCAUUAUUGAAUGUUAGUUUUUGGACAAAAAGAUAAAGGUGGAAUUAAAUCGUGGCCAAGCUAGAAGAAAAAUUCAAGAAGUCAUGGCAUAACCUUGGUAUUUACAACCUGCUUCUGGCCACCAAGUAUAACAUCAGACCAAACAUACCACUCUUGGGAGCAGCAUUUUUUUCCUGAUCGAAGUCUAGCAACGUGUUUGUCUGUAUGAUCGCUACCAACCUUUUAGAUCCAGGAGUAAUCUUUAGAGCCAACCCCCAUGGUUUAGAGGUGGAAACAGAUGAUUGAUACUAAAAAGAUGGUCUGAAGGUUUGAAAUCCGGUCGAGCAUAUAAUGCCCAUAUGAGAGCUGAGAUGAAGAAUACCUUGAAUUUCUAAAUGAAAACAUGUUGCUGGAGUAAUGUUUCCUGGCUUGAGGUCACGUUGAACCAGUGGCUCUGGCUUGGUCUGAUGGAGAUAGAGCAAACCAGUGGCUAUCUCAGCCGCAAUUCGGAACCUUUUAUUACAUAGAGCACCAUCAAGUUUCAUAAACAAUAGCUAAUAAUCUAUCCAGUCUCCAAGUACUCCUAACGAAUCAAGUUCCAUGAAAAAGCCUCAGAAGUUCUUCUACAUACAAUUGAUCUACCAUGCAAGAACAACCUGCCACGGACAUGUCAGCACCAUCAGCAAGCUCAUAGUCUCACAACCACCUUAGUUUCUUAACCACGAGCCCCAUCAGUAACUCCAAGCAAGAAGCAAAUAAACAAUCAAAAUCAAAUAGGAAAAAGAAAAACUUGGAAAGAUAAAAGACCAAAGAGUGCAGAUGCUGCUAGGAAAGUGGGCAAAACCUCAUCAACAUCAACAAAAAAAAAAAAAGUUAAGACAAAUCAAUUGUGGUUAUGCAAAAGAAGUAAAAAACCCAUCUCUCAAAAACUUCCACAAGCAUAAACAAAGGGAUGGAGAUACAUGGGAAAAAGAACAGCUUAUCAGAAACAAAAAAAAAAAGACUAAAUUACUUAAAAACUUCAUAAAAUAGUCAAUUAUAAAAGAUAAAACUAUGGUUAUAAAACUACUAAAUACUAAUUAAUUAUCAUAAAUACCUUAGCUUUUGGGGUUCCAUUUCAUAUACCUCAACCAUGUACUUUGCGAUGGUUUCUUCGAGGCGAGCUAAAAAUGAGAGAUUGAAUCUAAGCUGUUGAUAUAAAACCAUGAGAAAAUCCAAUGGUGGAUAAGAAGUCCAAGUCAUCUGUCCAUGUCAAAAUUAUUUCCCUCUCAUACCAAAACAAAAAUUUGGCACCAUUUUACAGCUGUCAUAACUGAAAUUUCCUUCUUGUCACAAGUUAGUUUGAUUCGAGGGGGAGGAAAGAAUUGCACUCGACACUAGGUUGUUUUCAAAUCAAAUGAACCUUAGACAAUAUGACCAUUAGGAUUUAGUUAUAGCUAUACGCGCAUUUUAUUAGUGCAGGUUUGUUAAGAAAAGAUGCACAUGUGGCCAGUAGUGAAAAUAUAGGAAGUUAUCUUCAUAUAUAAGAUCUGUUACAGAAUUGGAGAAGGAUAAUAAUGAACAUAAUGAAUGAAUGUUGAGCUGAAUGCGUGGAAUUCUACUUCUAUCUCUCUCUUCUUCUAUUUGCUUACUAACUUCUAAACACCAUGAAUGGAACUUGGCUACCAGCCAUUCCCAUCACUAAGGACCUCUGGAUGUUUAUCCAGAUUGGUUCCCAGGUCAAUCAGACACGCACGUUUGUCCUUUUAUUUUCGUUCUUAAAAUCUCUAAGCAGUUAGGAGGAGGAGUAGCCAAGUCUACUGAUGGGUUUGCUACUACCACUGCUGCUUCACUUGUUCAUGUAAGAGAUGACAGUGGUGUUGUUAAAUGGUAUUUACUUGCGUCCCCCUGUUUUACUUUUUUUUUUUGGGGGGGGGGGGUUCUUAUUUUGGGCUAUUAAUUUGAGUUUGAGAUUUUCAAGAAAUAUAGCUAUGAUUUGUUUGAUUUUAAAAAAAAAAUAUAUGGGUUUUUCUAUUUUUGUGUUCUUGAAUUGAUUUUAGGGUUUAAAAUUAUGGGUUCUUUGAUUUUUUUUAAAGAAAUUGAGUAACCCGGUUGAUUUUGAACAAACUCUGUUCUGGGUGUUUCUAGUUUUGUGUUAUCGACUUGAUUUUGGGGUUUUCAUCAUGGUUCUUUGAAUUUUUUAAGAAAGAGGGAACCCGGUUUGCAGAAAUUAGUUAAGGAAUCAAUGAAGUAAUUCAUGGUCUUUUGUUUUUUUGAAUUGAUAAAUGCAGUGAAGAGUGCAAGAAGGAUAUGCCAGUGGCUUUAUAAGUUUCCAAGGCCGUAGUCUUGAUGCUAAAAUCAAGAUUGAUUCUGGUUAGUUCAGUUCCAUAAUGUAGUUUUGAUGCUAAGAGGCACUAAUUUGUUUUUUUUAUAUGAUUAAUCAAUUGAUUGUUUGUCAUGAUUUGGGGAUUGUGAAUUAGUGAUUUGGUUUGUAGAAAGACAACAACCUUGACAAAGCCGAAAAGCGAAGAAAGAGGAGAAGGGCAAUGAUCAAAAUGCACUGAAACGACCUCCCAUUACUUUCUUUCUCCUCAUGUAAUAAUGCCCUUUGUUGCUUGUUUGUGUGGUGUAAUAUAAUGUGAUGAUAAUGUGUGAAUGUGGGGAGUGGGGUUUGUAUUGAUGUGUGUUGUUCUUGGUGUAAUAUAAUGUGAUGAUAAUGUGUGAAUGUGGGGAGUGGGGUUUGUGUUGAUGUGUGUUGUUCUUUAAUUAGGGGUGAUCUUAGGAAAGAGUACAAGGAAGGCAACCCACACUCUAAGAAUGUUAAGAAGAUAAGUGAAACAUAAUAGUUUUGUCAUUUUCAAUUUUAUUAUGUUGUUCAAGUUGAUAUACUAAUAAUUAUAAGGGAUGAUUUUAGAAAAAAGUAUAGUAAUGCUAAUACUGCAUUUGAUGAAAUUCAGGUUGCAAGGGAAGGUGGUGAGAGAGGGAAAUCAAUGACUGAUGAAGUGUGUAACAGCCCGGCCCAACAUGUUGAAUAUUGUCUGCUUUGGGACCGCCCUCACGGUUUUGUUCCUGGUGACGUGAGCCUACUAUUGAGCCUGACGCCCCAAAACGCGUUCAACAUGUUAGUACUAGCACUACUAAUAAGGCCAGCAACACAACCCUUACCCGCCGAUAUGGGAUCUUACAAUCCACCCCCCUUAAGGAGCUCGACGACCCCAUCGGCACAACCGGACAGCCAGUGAGAUCGGCUCUGAUACCAAAUGUAACAGCUCGGCCCAACAUGCUGAAUAUUGUCCGCUUUGGGCCUUACCGCCCUCACGGUUUUGUUCCUGGUGACGCGAGCCCACUACUGAGCCUGACGCCCCAAAACGCGUUCAACAUGUUAGCACCAACACUACUAAUAAGGCCAGCAACACACCCCUCACCCGCCGUUGUGGGAUCUUACAAUCCACCCUCUUUAAGGAGCCCGACGACCCCGUCGGCACAACCGGACAGCCAGUGAGGUCGGCUCUGAUACCAAAUGUAACAGCCCGGCCCAACAUGCUGAAUAUUGUCCGCUUUGGGCCUUACCGCCCUCACGGUUUUGUUCCUGGUGACGCGAGCCCACUACUGAGCCUGACGCCCCAAAACGCGUUCAACAUGUUAGCACCAACACUACUAAUAAGGUCAGCAACACACCCCUCACCCGUCGAUGUGGGAUCUUACAAAGUGAAUGUUGGUUUAUCUCUCUUUUUUAUAUAAAUCAUUGGUGGACAUUUAUAAGCCAUUGAAUGAUGAGAGUGGUAUGUAACUGUUAUGUUUUGAUUUCGAUUUGUUUCAGGAGAAAAAGCCUUACGUGGAUAAGGUUGUUGAGCUUAAGGCAGGGUAUGAUGAAAAUAAGAAUGUGAGUUCAGAAUAUGUCCUCAAUUUAUUGAUUUAAUGAGAAUGUUGUUAUGAGAUUUAGAACCUUCAAGUUUAAUCCUUUAAUGUGUUUCGAGAUUGUGCUAAUUGGGCGUCCUAUUCAUCUGGGACUGGUUUCCUAAGGCCUAGCCAUUCCAUCUUCUCUGUGGGUUAGUGGCUAGGUAUGGUCUUCAUGCAGCCAGUUUUGGUAAAUCCUUAUUUUCAGUUUUAUUUGAUUUUCUUUUUUAUUUAUUUCUUGCACUCCUUUACUAUUCCAUUUCACUUCGUUUUAGGAUGGGCUGCCAUGUUUGCUUUGGUUAUCAUAGCUUCCUGAUUAGAUUCUUUCCCUUCAUGUCAAGUUGUCUAAUUUUUUUAUUUAAGAGAGUAACGGAUGGUUAGUUGUUUUUUUCCCCCCUGAAAAGUGUGGUUGUGUGCUCUCUCGGUUUCUUUCUUGCAUUUGUUUUUUGGUUGUUUUCUCUAUGUUGUUCUUGGCUUCGGUUCUUUCUUUUCUUUUAUUUUUUCUCUUAGCAACAUCUGUUCAUUGUUAAUUUUUUAUUUCAAUUGUGAGGAUGGCUGUGAAAAUUGGUUUUGCUAAUCUUUGUUGAAUGUUUUUGGGCGGUGGUUGAAUCAAUUGUUUUGAUCCAUUUGCUCUGCAUCUAUUUUGGCUUUUGGUUAUUUUUUGCUCUUGCAAUCCCUAUUUGGUUUUUUUCUUUGGGUUUUUUUAUUGUUUUGAUAGAGUUAACCAGAAGAUUUGGCAUCUUAUACGUUGGUUUUUUUUUAUGGGUUUUGUUUGCUAUGUGGGGCCUUUUCUCCUGCGUUUCUUUUGUUGGGUGAGCUUAUGUGGUUUCUUUGGUAAGGCCAACCAUUGAGGUCCUUUUGAGCUCUUUUUUCUCUCCUUUAAAGAUUUGUGCAUUCAUGAUGUUUUGUGUUGUUUUAUGAUGUUUCCUUUAUAGAUGUUCUAGACUUCAGUUUGUUGCUCUUGGUUUGGCUAGCUGGUGCUGAAACAAUUUCCUUCUUUGGUUGUUUUUGUUCAUAAGUAGCUUCACGUUGCGUGUUGAUGCAUGUUUAAAGAUUCAUUUAUUUUUUUACUAUAAUCAUGGCUAUUGAAUGCUAAUGAGGUUUUCUAGAAAUUUUGAUUGUGCUUUAAAGAUGAUUCACUAGAUGUUUCAACACUUCCAAGGCUAUAUGUUUCAUAAAGGAUGAUGCACAAAGGAGUUAAAAGAAUUCAUUGGUUGCUAAAUGUUAGGAUUUUGUUUUUUUAAACAUAGUUGUGCUGACUUUUCUUUAGUAUAGUGUUGUUUUCUUUUCUUUUGUUCUACUCUUCUUUCCUCUUCCCUUACCUUUGUUUUCUAUUUUUUAUUGUGGAACAUCUAUCACUUGCCUUACUGUUUUGCUGUCAACUCUGCUAGGAUCACACCCAUUCUCUCCUCAGUCAGCUUCUUGGUCUUCUUUCAAGAAUCUGACGGUACAUCUCACUUUUUUUUCUUUCACUUAUACGUGUUCUUAGUUUCUCAUAAUUGUUACUUUAAGUACCCCCCCUUCUUGAAUCAAUCCUUAUCCAUCUUUUUUUAAAGUUUGCUUCUACACAGUUAUUAUGUUCCCAACCUUCAUUUUUACUCUGGAAGCAGUUCCUUUUGUGUUUUUUUUUUCAUGCUGCAGUUGUUUUUUCUUAUACAUUGUGCUUGCACUUUUUUACCCUUUUUUGUUUUUUGUCCAACAUUUCGUUUCAUUUCGCUGGCUCAGCACCCUAUUCAUCACUAGAUUUAUGACUUUGCAAGGUGUUGUUUGUGUUGGUCUCUGUUAGCGAUCUCGACCCUAUAAUUAGGUUUUUUAAGAGGCCUUUAUUCUUCUUGGUCUCAAGGAAUGCGUCUAAUGUAUGGAAGAUUAAUAUUCUAAAAUAUUUUUUUUAGUUUGUGUUAAUCUACUCAACACGUGGAUAAUUGCCUACUUAGCUACAAAAUAAAAUAAUCUUUGUCAUAACCCAAUUUUGGGUUAUUCCCCAAAAUUCUCUUUUUUAAAAAAAUAAAAAUAAAAAAAUAGAAUAAAGGUUGGCACUGUGGAGAAAGCUGAUAAAAAAAAGACUGCAAAAAUAGGCAAAAAUCGAAGGUCAAAUUAAAUGAUUAUUGGAUGAAUUUGCAUAAAAAUUAAGUCCAAUGAUAUAAUUAAAUUUUUAAUGGGCCAAUUUGAUUUAAUCAUGGGCCAAAUUAAAUUUUAAUUAUGUUUAAGAAUUAAUUUAGGUCCAAUUGAAGGAUUAAUUAAGUGCAAGGACUUAAUUAUACUUUAAAUGGGUCAAUUAAUUUGGGGCUUAAUUGGUAAAAAAUUAAGUUUGAGAGCUUAAUUGGACUGAAUUAAAAAGAUUGAAAUUUAAGACCAAAUUUAAUUUUUACCAAGUGAAUAAACCAAAAAUUGAGGGACCAAUUUGGAAGCUCGAAAAAAUGUCUUGCCUAUAAAUAGCAGCCAACAAAAAUCAGUAAAGGGGGGGGUUCAUUUUGUAAUUUUGGGAGAAAGAGAGAACCCUAAAAAAUAUACACAGGCCCCCUACUGGUUGGGUUUUCUCAACUACAGCCGGCAGCUCCCCUGAAGCUCCCCCCUUUUGAUUUAUUUUCUUCUCCCCGGUUUGUUGCUUCCCCAAAACAGCAGCAACAUUGACAAACCAAAGAGCCCCGCUGUUUUUUUUUUUUUUUCUCUUUUUUCCCACAAAACCAGCCGGUUUUCACUGCUUCCUCAUAACCAAGAGAACCCCUCUCAGCCAUGGGAACCUACUCCCUUCUCCCCAUUUUUCCAAAACUGUAGCCGCAGCCUUCUCCUUCCAAAAAACUCCAGCCGGUUCCUCCUCUGGCCGUUUCUUCCUUCAUCUUCCCUGCUUGAAACCGAACCCAUUCCUUCCUUCAUCUCCCCUGCACGCCGGCCUUCACGAUCUCCUCCUCUAGACUGAAUACAGAGGCAGCCUCCACUGUUCGUUAGCUGCUCUCGUCUCCACCAACAGACCGGCCUUCCACUAUAACCGACCAGUACCAGCCCGACACAGCGGCGCCGACAGAUUCCCGAUCUGUCCGCCUCCAGCCAGCAACCUCUUCUCUCGUCUUCAACCAUCCAAACGACCAUAAGCAGUGGUGGCGUUGGACCCAGAAGAAGAAAGGAAGAACAACAAACCAUAAUUAAAAAGAAAGACCCGAGAACAGAUCUGCAGAGGAGGAAAAAGAUUAAAAUCAACUGCCAUGUGUUGUGUUUUUGCUUCUUGUGCAGGUGACUGAGAGAUGCACCGCUGGUAUGGACGGGAAGAGAAGAAGGAGAUGAUCCAGAUCCGCCCGUUGCUGGCAUGUUCAGCGGCGCGUGAACCCACGUGCUGCCAGUGGCGGUGGAGCGUGGGAAGACGCGCCGCCACUGAAUCACAAUCGUAGAAGAUGCCCAGAAUUCCCCAGCACUGUUCCCAAAGCUAUUUUUGUAAUUUGCAAAUGUUGCUGUGUAUAUUUGGCCACUAUUGUGUUUUGAUUUAUUUAAUUAUUUUUCUUUGUUAUGUUGUAAACAUGUAAUUAUGGGUGAGUUCGCAUGAUAAAAAGAGAUGAGUGUGUGUGUGUUUUUAUUAUUAUUAUUUAUUAUAUUGAAUUAUAAAGAAAAGAACAAAAAAGGAAUUAAUUGUUUAAUUUGAACAUGCAUAAAUAAUUGAUUUAUCAAAGCCUUAGAAUUGGGUUAAAAAUUUUAUUUUUAAAAUUACAUCAAGCUCACGAAGCUUGAAUGUGGUGUGUAUUUUGUUUGUGAAUUUUUUUUUUAUGAUAAAAUUGCAGGAAUAAAGAAGGAUUUAAUAUUUUGAUUGGAUCACGGUGUAGAAGUACAAACUUGUACGGAAGUUGUAUUUCUAAAAUCCGAUGAAAAAACAAAAUUUUUAAAACUUCUUUAACACAUCAAGUCCACGGAGCAACUUACCUCAGGUAGGGUGUGUUAGGGGUGCUCAUACCUUCCCUAACCACAAUCAGUCCCUUACCCGCGAAUCUUUGACUAUGACCAGUCCAUCAGGGUUUCCUAGUAACCUCAAUUAAAUACUAGGUGGCGACUCCUAACGAAUCAAUUCAAGCAAAUGCCACAACAAGAGCAUAAAUCGCCAGGAUUUUUCGACGUGCGACAGAAUGACGACUCCGCUGGGGAGGUACUGUUUCUGACAAUAUUGGACUAAGCUUUGUGUAUUUGAUGUGUUUAAAUUUUGUCAUUUUUGUCUUGUUUUAUUUUAUGCAUGCAUUUUGAUUAGUACUUAAAAGUGCAUGUUUAUCAAGGUUUUAUAUCAUCAUUUUGCACUUGAAGUAUCAAUAACUCCUUAACUAAAGCAUGUUUUAUAAUAACAAGUUUGAUAUUAUAAGAUACCUUAAUUUAUGGUAAAUGCUCAUUUUAAAUGCAGGACUAUCACAUAAAUAAAAGGAUUGAUUGAUGAGUUUAAGCAUUGAAAGUGAAAGGACAAAGAGAUGGCCAAACUUAGAAAAGAGAUGUCGGUGCAGUCCAAACCGGAACAUUGCUCGGUAAUUGGAUCAUAUCUGGAGCUCUAGAUUUCGGUUUUAGGUCCACUUUAUAUGGAUGGAAAGGUAAGACAAAGGCCUACAACUUUCAUGAGGAGCCCAAGAUUUGAAAAGGUCGUUUUGAAGUCCAAAUUGAAGGAACAACGAAGAAGUCCGAAGCUGUCCUGCAGCCCAAACACUAUUUAGUGUUCAGCCCAUAUCUUGAGUUCUAGAAGUCCAAAUGACCUCAUCUUUUUUUUGUUGGAAAGCUGAGACAAUUUCCUAGAACAUUCUUGAGGAUUCUGGGCAAAUUAUGAUGUUAGCAAUGACGUCUUGAUCAGACAAGAAGAUAAGGAUUGUUAUCUAGUCAAGAUGUGGCCACCCACUCAUCAAUUAGUCAACAAAUCAAUAGUUCCAAAUUUUGGCCUAUAAAAGGAGGCACUUACCAUGUAUUGAGGCAUCUUGGUUUCAGAUCAAGAUCAUGCUCUUGCUUUCUCUCUUUGUAUUGCUUAUGUCUUGCUUUCAUUAAUAUCAAGUUUAUGCACUUCAUUUCCUUUCCUUUCUAGUUAACUUCUUUCUCAUUUAUGUUCUUGUCUUGCUCAUUUAUGUUUCUUUCUUUAUUAUGUCUAGCUAAGUUAAUUAUGUCAAGGUGAAAAGGGUACACUAAUGGUGUAAGAACAAGUAUAAUAUAAACUUAACAUGGACCUUAACGUUGGAUACUAACAUGUUUUAUAUUUGUUAUCUUGUUCACUUUAAUACUUUGCUUGUUAAAUGGUUAAUCUAGAUUUAUUGUGUAACACUUGGUACAACAAAUACUUGGCACUUUCAUAGCCCAUACUGUAUGGUAUAACCGACACCUGAGCUAUGAAAGGGACUUGAUUUGUUGUUAACAUAAGUUAUAAUCAUGAAUGCCUGCCAACAUUUACAAGUAUUAGCUUUAUUCGAAUAAGAUAACUAAUGUAAUCAUGUUAACAAUUUAUAAUCUGAUUGGAACCUCCUUUAUGUGUGGUUUCCAAUUGAGUAAUAAGAGUUUAUAUUAUACUUGUUUGAAGUACCAUUAGUGGAUCCUCUAACCUUGACAUUUGUUUUUAUCAUUGUUUAAUCCUUACGUUAAUCUUUUAUCUCAAAGUUCUCAUUAAUUUCUUCAUCUUCUGUUACUAUUAUUAUUAUCAUUAUUAUUAUUAUUAUUAUUUAAAUUCUGUUUAUAUUAUAUAUAUCUUUGAUCUUUUCAUAAACUCAGUAUAUAGGCUGGAAACCUGUGACCCGAUCUUUUAGAUCAUUCUCAGGUAUAACAACGCCACGUACUGAGUAUUAUUAUUAUUGUUGUUGUUGUUGUUGUUGUUGUUGUUGUCUUGUUAUUUAUAAUUUAUACAAUUAACCUCUCUGUGGUUCGACCCCGGUCUUGCCGGGUUAUUUAUUACUUCGACACUCCUGCACUUGGGAAAAGACAUCAAGCUUUUGGUCGUGUCAAGUUUUUGGCGCCGUUGCCGGGGAGGUAAAUUCUUGUAUAAAUUAUAAUAUUUAAUUUAUUUUCUCUUUUCACUUUUCAUUUUAUCUAUUUUUGUUUCCUUUGUUUUGUUUUGUUUCUUUUUCUUCUAUUUUCUUUUCUUGCUUUUAUUCUCUUCUUACACGUGCAUGAGAGUUUGGUCACGUACAUUAAGUGGUAGACUUUGUAGGGUAUCCUCAUCAUUUUCAGAAAAUAUGGCCGAAGAAGAUAAUCAAUCACUUCAUAAUGAGAAUAAUGAGAAUAACCGUAUGAGAACACUUAGAGACCACAUGAAUCCCACAAGAACAAGUGCACCCUCAUGCAUAGUUUUCCCUCCUGAUGCAUCUCAUUUUAAUUUUAAGCCAGGCAUUAUUCAACUUUUACCAUCUUUUCAUGGCUUAGACUUAGAAAAUCCAUACUUGCAUUUAAGGGAAUUUGAGGAGGUCUGUAAUACCUAUAAUGACUCAAAUUGUAGCAUGAACACCAUUCGAUUAAAGCUUUUUCCUUUUUCAUUAAAAGAUAAAGCUAAAACAUGGCUACAAAAUUUGAGACCAGGAUCCAUUCGUGCUUGGGAUGAUAUGCAACAACAAUUUUUAAAGAAGUUUUUUCCAUCUCACAGAACAAACUCUUUCAAAAGACAAAUCAUCACUUUCACUCAAAAGCCAGGAGAAACAUUUUACCAAUGUUGGGAUAGGUAUCGAGAUUUGCUUAAUACUUGCCCACAUCAUGGUUUUGAAACAUGGAGAUUGGUUUCACAUUUUUAUGAGGGUUUAACACCUAGAGAUAGGCAAAUGGUUGAAUUGAUGUGCAAUGGAACUUUGAAGAUAAAGACCCUAAUGAAGCAAUGGAGUACCUAGACUUGCUAGCGAAAAUGCUCAAAAUUGGGACACCACAGGUACUUAUGAGGCACCAGGUAAAACUCAACCUCAUACAUCUAGUGGGGUAUGCACAACCUUAGGGAAGAUCAUGACCUCCAAGCCAAGUUUGCAUCUUUAGCUAGAAAAGUCGAGGCACUAGAAUUGAAAAAGAGUGGUCAAUUAAAAUCUGUUCAAGACAUUGUGUGUCAAAUCUGUGAAACAAAUGAGCAUGCAACCAAUGAUUGUCCAACUUUGCCUUCUUUCAAGGAAUGCCUCCAUGAACAAGCCCAUGCUUUAAACAGUUUCCAAAGACCCAACCAUAACCCAUACUCACAAACAUAUAACCCUGGUUGGAGAAAUCACCCAAAUUUUAGUUGGAAGAGUGAUAGCAACAAUGCACAAACUUCACAUCCACCGUUUCAAGCACACCAUAAUUUCCAAAAUUCUCAUGGAUAUGCACCUCCUUAUGCUCCACCUCCUAGAAGAAAUUUUGAGGAAACAUUGCAUGCAUUCAUUGAAAAGCAGGAGACAAUCAACACUCAACUUGCUCAAAGCAUGACGAUUUUAAAGAUGCUCUUGCAAAAUUAACAUCUGCUCUCAGUUUCCAAGAGAAAGGUAAGUUUCCUUCUCAACCACAGCAAAAUCCAAAGGGGCAAUACAAUGCAAAUGCAAGUAGUUCUGGAAGCCAACACAUGGAUCAAGUCAAAUCAGUCAUCACUCUUCGUAGUGGUAAGGUUAUUGAAAAACCAUUCUUGAACCUUGUGAGAAAGAUGAUGAGUCUAUCUCUGAGGGUAAGGAAGGGGUUGAACCUGAACAUUGCAAAGAAAAGGCUGAUUCCCCGCCAGCACUUCCAUUUCCUCAUGCCAUGACCAAACAAAGGAAAGUCAGUCACAACUCUGAAAUCUUUGAAAUUUUCAAACAGGUAAGGAUCAAUAUACCUUUGUUGGAUGCUAUUAAACAGGUUCCUUCCUAUGCUAAAUUUUUGAAAGAUCUGUGCACUGUGAAGAGAAAAUUGAAUGUGAAAAAGAAAGCAUUUUUAGCCGAACAAGUAAGUGCCAUUCUUCAGAACAAUAAUGCUUUGAAAUAUAAAGACCCUGGUUGUCCUACAAUUUCUUGCUUUAUUGGAGAACAUAAAAUUGAAAGAGCCUUACUUGAUCUUGGAGCUAGUGUGAAUUUACUUCCAUAUUCAGUUUUUCAGAGUCUCAAUCUAGGUGAGUUAAAACCAACCUCUGUAACUCUUUUACUCGCCGAUAGAUCUGUAAAAGUGCCUAGAGGAAUAAUUGAAGAUGUGUUGGUACAAGUUGAUAAAUUCAUUUAUCCUGUGGAUUUUGUUGUCUUGGACACGCAACCUGUUGAAGCAUGUAAUUCAAUUCCUGUCAUUUUAGGACGUCCAUUUCUUGCCACUUCUAAUGCAUUGAUUAAUUGUAGGAAUGGACUGAUGAAGCUAUCAUUUGGAAACAUGACAUUGGAGAUGAAUAUUUUCAACAUUUACAAGCAACCUGGAGAUGAUAAUGAUUUACAGGAAGUGGACUUUAUUGAAAAAUUAGUUCAUGAUCAAUUUCAAACCACUUCUAGUGAAACUGAGAUUGAUGAAUCUGAUGAUUUGCAAAUGGUCUACUUUCAGGAAUCAAAGGCAUGCAAUUGGAGACCACAAAUUGAAGAAUUGCCACCACGAUCAAUUGAGCCCAUACCUUCAAGUGUUCAACCACCAAAACCUGAAUUGAAGCCGUUACCAUUUAAUCUCAAAUACUCAUUUUGGGAGAAAAUGAAACUUUUCCGGUAAUAAUCUCUUUCAAACUUAAUGCGCAUCAAAGAAGGUAAGUUAUUACAAACUCUAAAAAUGCAAAAAAUGCAUUAGGAUGGACCAUAGCUGACAUAAAAAGGAAUUAGCCCUUUGAUUUGCACACACAGGAUUUAUUUGGAGGAAAAUGCUAACCCUCUAGAGAAAUGCAACGAAGGCUUAAUCCUAAUAUGAAAGAAGUAGUGAAAAAUGAAGUCAUUAAGCUUCUAGAUAAUGGAAUCAUUUAUCCUAUUUCUGACAGCAAAUGGGUAAGUCUACCCAAGUUGUACCAAAAAUGGAGUCACUGUGAUAACAAAUGAGAAAAAUGAGUUAAUUCCAAUAGGACUGUUACGGGUUGGCGCAUGUGCAUUGACUAUAGGAAACUUAAUUCAAUGACUAGAAAAGAUCAUUUCCCUUUACCUUUCAUGGACCAAAUCCUAGAAAGAGUUGCAGGUCAUGAAUUUUAUUGUUUCCUAGAUGGUUAUUCAGGUUACAAUCAAAUUGAAAUUGCAUUGGAAGAUCAAGAGAAGACUACUUUCACAUGUCCAUUUGGUACUUUUGCAUAUCGAAGGAUGCCUUUUGGAUUAUGUAAUGCACCAGCCACGUUUCAAAGAUGCAUGCUUAGCAUAUUCAGUGAUAUGGUUGAACGUUUUCUUGAAAUUUUUAUGGAUGAUUUUUCUGUUUUUGGUGAUUCAUUUGAUGAUUGUUUGACUAACUUAGAAAAGGUUUUGAGCAGGUGUGAAGAGAAGAAUCUUGUACUGAAUUGGGAAAAAUGUCACUUUAUGGUAACAAACGGCAUUGUACUUGGUCACAUUGUUUCAUCGAAAGGAAUUGAGGUUGACAAAUCUAAAAUCGAGUUAAUUGCCAACUUACCAACACCAAAAUCUGUUAAAGAUGUUAGAUCAUUCUUAGGACAUGCUGGUUUUUACAGAAGGUUCAUCAAAGAUUUUAGUGUAAUAUCUAAGCCCUUGAAUAACCUUCUAACAAAGGAUAAUAUUUUUGAAUGGACUGAACAUUGUGAAGAAGCCUUUGUUAAACUUAAAAACUUGCUUACUUCUGCUCCUGCCAUUCAACCUCCUGAUUGGUCAUUACCUUUUGAAAUAAUGUGUGACGCUAGUGAUUAUGUCGUGGGUGCUGUUUUGGGACAAAGAAAGGAUAAGAAACCUUAUGUGAUUUACUAUGCAAGUAAAACUUUAAAUAGUGCUCAAAUGAAUUACACUACCACUGAAAAAGAAUUACUUGCAGUAGUAUUUGCAUGUGACAAGUUCAGAUCUUAUCUUGUUGGCUCACCUGUUGUUGUUUUUAGUGAUCAUGCAACAUUGAAAUAUCUUCUCUCUAAGAAAGAUUCUAAGGCUAGAUUGGUGCGGUGGAUUUUGUUACUUCAAGAAUUUGAUAUCACAAUCAAAGACAAGAAAGGCACCGAAAAUGUUAAUACAGAUCAUUUGUCAAGAUUGACAACAGAUUCAACAUCUGACAUCACACCAAUCGAUGAUUACUUUCCUGAAGAAUCCUUACUUUUUCAUAGUUCAAUGCCUUGGUUUGCUAAAAAUAUUAAUUUUCUUGCAACAGGAGAUUUGCCAGCUCACUGGAGUACCGAAGACAAAGGAAAGAUUUUGAAUGAAGUGAAGAACUUUUAUUUGGAUGACCCUUACUUAUUCAAAAAUUGUCCUGAUCAAAUAUUUUAAAGAUGCAUUCCCGACAAUGAGGUAAGUAGUGUCAUUAAAUUUUGUCAUUCUGAGGCAUGUGGGAGUCAUUUCUCGUCAAAAAGGACGACUGCAAAAAUCUUACAAUCUGGAUUCUAUUGGCCCACCAUGUUCAAAGACACACAUGUUUUCUGCAAAGCUUGUGAAAAUUGUCAAAAGUCAGGAUUUAUUUCAAAACAUAAGGAAUCUUUAGAUAAUCUUCUAUUGACUUUUGCAACAUAUCCUGGUGGCAAUGUGCAUUGUGCAUUUCAUGACUUAUGACCCAAUUUUCAUAAAGAACAUGCUCGACUUAGUCUUGGGAAUCUGACUAAAAAAGACCCUGUUUGCCAGUUUUUAAGAAAACUGGAUGGGAAGCCUAUCCCCGACCCAUAGAGGGCGUUUAAGCCGUUCUUGGACGUAAAACCAAGGGAAGAUGUGAGCCACAAUCACAACUACCUGUACAUACAUGCUUUUUCAAAAUAAAUAAUUAAUAAAGAGAGAGAGAGAGAGAGUUUGUGAGACUACAGCUGGCCUACAUAUAGGUGGUAUGAUUGCAUUUUCACUUUUUCAUCUAUAAAUUCUUCUCUUCCUUCCCUUCAUUUCUACUCAUCCCAUAUAUUCAUCAAAUAUAGAAGUGUGUAGAAAUGGCAGGUUCCUCAAGUCAUCAUAUAAGAAAUAUUUGUGUUUUCGGUGGAUCCAGUUCUGGGAAAGAAAAAGAGUUUUUAGAAUCAGCAAAUCAUCUUGGUCGGGUACUAGCUGAGAGAAAGAUUCAUUUAGUGUAUGGGGGAGGUAGCCUUGGGUUAAUGGGAGGUGUGUCAAUGGCUGCAUUUUUGGGAGGCAGUCAAGUUUUGGGGGUUGUCCCCAAAGCUUUAGCAAAUGGGGACAUCAUUGGAAAAACAAUUGGAGAGAACUACAGGUCCCAACAAUGUCUGACCGACUGAAUACCAUGUUUAACCAUGCUGAUGCCUUCAUUGCCUUACCAGGUGGUCUGGGCACAUUGGAAGAGAUCUUUCAUAUUUCAUCUUGGGCCCAACUGCACAUUCACCAUAAACCUAUAGGUUUGUUAAAUGUUAAUGGUUUUUAUGAUAAGUUGCUGUCUUUCCUUGAUCAAGCUGUGGAACAGGAAUUUCUAACAUCUUCGGCACGACGAAUCAUAAUCUCUGCUGCUACUGCUGCUGAACAAUUGAUUGACCAACUACAAUCUUUCAUCCCUGUCAUUGAUCCCUGCAUGAGUCGUCUAGAUUGGUCAACUAAGGAAAGCCGUAAAAAGCUUAGAUUAGAUUUGAGCCUUCAUCUGUGAAACCUUGUGUCUUUUGGUUUUAUUAAUAGCAUAUUAUUUUGUUUUGUUACUUCUUAUGUUUGUUUAAGUGUGUUUCAGGUUUGUCAUUGUUCGCUGUUUCAGGUGAUGUCUUCUAUACUCUAUCUUUCUACCUUCGAACAUUGAGGACAAUGUCUCGUUUUGGUUGGGGGGAGAGGGUAGUAGUUUAAAAAAAAAAAAAACUAACUUGCUAACUGUUUUUGCUAUUAUUAAAACCAUUUGACAAAAUUGUUAUUAGGAUGGCAGAGUAUGGAAUCAAUUUUAUUGACUCUAGAGACGCAUCUUAGUAAGUUUCAUUACCAAGGUCUAUCAUAAUACUUCUUGAAAUAUUCAGGUUUACAAACUCUCACAUUGUUAUCACUUGAUUCUGCUCCUAUACUCAUUUAACAAGUAUUAUUAAACCUUCAUUUUCACACACACACUUUAACAUAUGAUUGUGGGUUGCACAUUGGAUUAUUACAUUAAUUAUGUUCUUUUGUUGAAGGUAACAACUAAGGGAAAAGGAUAGUAUAUAAUUUGCAAAAAAAAAAAAAAAAAAAAAAAAAAAAAAAAAGAUAGUAUUGAUGAUAAUAAAACGUGGAUAAGUUUGGUUUCGUAGCCUCCCUAACCUAAGCAAUUAAGCCCGAAGGGGUGUUUUAACACCUAAUACCCUAAAGUCAACUGACUUGGGAGCUAUUGGCCCAAAGCUUGUUACAUGGGUUAAGGAGAAAAGCUUAAGGGAAUCAAACAUUGCACUAUCUACGUAUCAGUAUCUGCAACCCGAGUUGUUAAGCUCGUAGGGGUGUCUCAACACCUAAUGCCCUAAGACCAACUGGUCUGGGAGUCAUUAGCCUAAAACUCGUUACAUGGGUUAAAGAUACAUUGUGUUUUAAGUUGUAUGUGUAUAUAAAUAAAAAGAAAAAAAAAAUAAUAAUAAUCCCAACCCAAGGAAGUUCACCUUAAACAUUUGAACAUAAUAUUGUUUUCUUCCAACAAAAGCCCCAUCAUCUAUGUUUUCAUUGAGCACACAAAAAGAAGGUUUAUUAAUAUCUUGUUUACGAAGUAUGAAGCAGGAAUAUAAAUUUAAUGAGAGUUUGUUUAUCUGGAUAGAUUAAUGGAAGUUGAAUGAUGAAUGCCUUGCUUUGUGGAACUUGCAAAUUGUUUCUCUAUUUUAACGCUUUAGAUUACUAGGGACUAGUAAUAAGCUGGUUGGGGGGUGUGAUUAGUACUUAAAAGUGCAUGUUUAUCAAGGUUUUAUAUCAUCAUUUUGCACUUGAAGUAUCAAUAACUCCUUAACUAAAGCAUGUUUUAUAAUAACAAGUUUGAUAUUAUAAGAUACCUUAAUUUAUGGUAAAUGCUCAUUUUAAAUGCAGGACUAUCACAUAAAUAAAAGGAUUGAUUGAUGAGUUUAAGCAUUGAAAGUUAAAGGACAAAGAGAUGGCCAAACUUAGAAAAGAGAUGUCGGUGCAGUCCAAACCGGAACAUUGCUCGGUAAUUGGAUCAUAUCUGGAGCUCUAGAUUUCGGAUUUAGGUCCACUUUAUAUGGAUGGAAAGGUAAGACAAAGGCCUACAACUUUCAUGAGGAGCCCAAGAUUUGAAAAGGUCGUUUUGAAGUCCAAAUUGAAGGAACAACGAAGAAGUCCGAAGCUGUCCUGCAGCCCAAACACUAUUUAGUGUUCAGCCCAUAUCUUGAGUUCUAGAAGUCCAAAUGACCUCAUCUUUUUUUUGUUGGAAAGCUGAGACAAUUUCCUAGAACAUUCUUGAGGAUUCUGGGCAAAUUAUGAUGUUAGCAAUGACGUCUUGAUCAGACAAGAAGAUAAGGAUUGUUAUCUAGUCAAGAUGUGGCCACCCACUCAUCAAUUAGUCAACAAAUCAAUAGUUCCAAAUUUUGGCCUAUAAAAGGAGGCACUUACCAUGUAUUGAGGCAUCUUGGUGUUCAGAUCAAGAUCAUGCUCUUGCUUUCUCUCUUUGUAUUGCUUAUGUCUUGCUUUCAUUAAUAUCAAGUUUAUGCACUUCAUUUCCUUUCCUUUGUCUAGUUAACUUCUUUCUCAUUUAUGUUCUUAUCUUGUUCAUUUAUGUUUCUUUCUUUCAUUAUGUUCAGCUAAGUUAAUUAUGUCAAGGUGAAAAGGGCACACUAAUGGUGUAAGAAUAAGUAUAAUAUAAACUUAACAUGGACCUUAACGUUGGAUACUAACAUGUUUUAUAUUUGUUAUCUUGUUCACUUUUAAUACUUUGCUUGUUAAAUGGUUAAUCUAGAUUUAUGUUGUAUAACACUUGGUACAACAAAUACUUGGCACUUUCAUAGCCCAUACUGUAUGGUAUAACCGACACCUGAGCUAUGAAAGGGACUUGAUUUGUUGUUAACAUAAGUUAUAAUCAUGAAUGCCUGCCAAUAUUUACAAGUAUUAGCUUUAUUCGAAUAAGAUAACUAAUGUAAUCAUGUUAACAAUUUAUAAUCUGAUUGGAACCUCCUUUAUGUGUGGUUUCCAAUUGAGUAAUAAGAGUUUAUAUUAUACUUGUUUGAAGUACCAUUAGUGGAUCCUCUAACCUUGACAUUUGUUUUUAUCAUUGUUUAAUCCUUACGUUAAUCUUUUAUCUCAAAGUUCUCAUUAAUUUCUUCAUCUUCUGUUACUAUUAUUAUUAUCAUUAUUAUUAUUAUUAUUAUUUAAAUUCUGUUUAUAUUAUAUAUAUCUUUGAUCUUUUCAUAAACUCAGUAUAUAGGCUGGAAACCUGUGACCCGAUCUUUUAGAUCAUUCUCAGGUAUAACAACGCCACGUACUGAGUAUAAUUAUUAUUAUUAUUGUUGUUGUUGUUGUUGUUGUUGUUGUUGUUGUCUUGUUAUUUAUAAUUUAUACAAUUAACCUCUCUGUGGUUCGACCCCGGUCUUGCCGGGUUAUUUAUUACUUCGACACUCCUGCACUUGGGAAAAGACAUCAAGCUUUUGGUCGUGUCACAUUUUAUAGAAUUGUUUCAUGCAUCACGUAUUUAUUUUUGAAAGCACACACAAGCUUCUAAGUUAGGUGGGGAGUAGCAGUCUACCUCAUGACUUUCAAUCGGGGUUCAGAUGUGUGAAACAUCCAACUAUGAGUUGUGUUUACUCGGUAAUGACGGUCACAUGGUGCCCCAACCAUUCCUUGUAAACCCCUAUACUGCCUUCACGUGAGGUAGUCACUAGGCAGUUCAUAGACCUUUUUGAGACCAGAUAGAAAACCUACCUAUGUUUACACAAUGAAUAGAACCUGUCCUUAGGUUGUAUGUGAUAUCAUUUAUUUGCAUCGGGACGAACCCUUCUUGAAGCAUCUUGAACUCAAGAUUUGUGGGUGACACAUUGGUCGUCAUGCGGAAAAUUUUCAUUGUAGAGUUUGGUCAAAAAUCACAAUUCUUGUUCCAUCAUACAAGAGUUACGACCAUGUUGUCACCCCUCGAAGGGCGAGUUCAUCAUAUAGACUUCAUGUUCAUACAUUUGUCAUGCAUGCACCCUGAUGAAAGAUAGGUCCCCUAUGAGUCUACAACACCUAAUUUUGAGUGGAAAAAACUUUGGAGUUAAAAAACGUGCUCACAGUGACGCUAAUUUCCAAGAAGAGUUAGAGUCUCUGAAAGCAAGUGUGGCUCGCCUCACUAGCUUACUCGAGCAUAUGCUGAGAAAUGCCUCUGGUGAAGGUCCUUCCAAUCGGCCAACCUUUUUUGUUCAGCCCCAACUCAACCCGAAGAAAUUAGGGGCCAACAUGAUCAAGAGCCUCAACACAAUCUGAAGGGGAAUUGCAUCACCGUUGCAGAAUGGAGCCUGUUCUUGCUCUGCCAAAAUAACUAUCCCUGUUUGAUCAUGCCUCCAAAAACUUGAAUUUUUGUUUCAACCUAUCCCAGUUUUGUUGGUAAUUUGGCUCAAAAUUCCACAAGACUUUCCCUGUCCACUGAGCCUUUUUUGUUAAUAAGAUCAUGUGUUUUCUCAUGUUCAUCACAUGCCUUCAUUUUUGUUAUUUCAUGCAAAUAACACAUUGAGCAUAACCUUUAAGCAUGAAACCAUUGCGACAAGAAUCUUUGGGUGUGUUUCCCUUUUCUUCCAAAACUAUGCAUGUUUUCAUAAGGAUUUUUGAGAAUUCAAAGUUUAGUGCAAAAACAGAAAUCAUGUUGAGGUUUGUUCGAAACAAACGAGUUCUGGAAAUUCAGGUGAUUCCUUAGAGAGGUAACCAUACACCUAGAAAACCCAAAAAAAAAACACCAUGAAGUGACUCCAAAAGCUGGGUUUUACUUGCAUGAAUAAUGAGAAAUCACUCUGCAUACUCGCAUGAAAGCAAGGCUUACCGAUCCUAAAUGCAUGUAUUUGAGAUGAAGAAAGGCCAUCUUUGAUAAUUCUUUCACAAGGCGGAAAUAUAUCAUUUGCAGUCCCCUUUUGAGCCUAAUAAAUUUUUCUUGAAAAAUAACCUUGGCUAGGAUCAUACCCUACACUAGGGGGCAAGUGCAAAAAAAUCUAUAAUGAUUGAAAGUGCCCAAACAAUACUGGGGGGCAUAAAAGAAAAUUCUCAAUCAUCAAAGGUGCCCAUACAAAGCUAGGGGGCAUGAAGAAAAAUCCAAAGGAUCCAAAAAUUUUGAGCAAAAAAAAACAAGGUCAAUGCAAUGAUGCUCAAAAUCAAAUGAAGAAAACAAAAACAAAGAGAAAGAGCCCAAGCCCAACACUAGGGGGCACCGUGGACCAUUUUACAAAUCAAUUCCAAGGUCCAGAAAUGUAUGAACAAAAGAGUUUGGGAUAUAAGCACUUGUGAUCCUUAGUCUUAAAGUCCUUUAAACACCUUUUGAGCCUACAUAUAUCAUUUUCUUCAUAGCCAAAAGCCCAAGCCUACAUUACGUGCCUAAUCAAGCCCUUUCUGAUCAAAGGCAAGCAAUCUGGAUCAGUAGGCGGUGCUUUCACAUGCAAAACAAAUUCAUUAUUCAUGCAAAUAAAAUGAAUGCUUUGAAAUUGAAAUUUAAACCUUUUAUGACCAACCAGAUGUCACUUCGUGUUUUUCACAUUUUCACCAACGGUUCUCAAUAACCCUCAAAUUGAAAUUUAAACCUUUUGUGACCAACCAGAUGUCACUCCAUGUUCUUCACAUUUUCACCAAAAUCAAAACAAAAUUUUUCAUCACUUCUGAAAACCUCUCCAUAGGAAUCACUUGAAUUUCUUUAGAAUGAGUUUGCUUUGAAUCGAUGUCAAAAUGAUUUUUGUGUCUGGAAUAGCUUUGAAAUUUCAAAAAUUCUGCAUGAAAACAACUUUUUGUCAAACCUUCCUUCACAUAGCCUCAUCCCCAAACCCGAAUUGAAUGCUUGGGGGCAUGAUCAAGCUAGGGGGCGAUCAAAAACAUCUGGUAGAGCUAGCUCCGUGAUUCCCUUUCUAAGAAACUAUGGGGCAAAAUUGGCAACCCUUGAGAUAAAAGGGGCGGAGAACAAAGAAGAAUGAUGAUAUCAAGUCCUUCCAAGUGGUCAAGAUCAUAAGAUAUCACUCGAGUAAGCUAGAGCGAAAAGAGUCGUCAAAGCUUACUAUCAGAGACUUAAACUUUUGAGAAAAGGAGAACUCCAUGAAGAAAAGGGGACCUAUAUUUCUCAGGUAAGUAUACAUGCAUAUUGAUCAUGAGGCAUUACUUUCAUCCCUGAUAGAUCGGUGUCUCACCAUCACCUUUUUUUAGUGUGCCUUUGAGCCCUAACCUUUUAGGUAGUAUGUUUUCCAACCCUACCUCCUUUUGAGAGCUCCUUCGAGCCCGCACACUUUAGGUAGUGUGUUUUUUAACCCUACCUCUUUUUUUUAGUGUGGCUUUGAGCCCUCACCUUUUAGGUAGUGCGUGUUCCAACCUUACCUCCUUUUAAGUGCGCCUUAGGGCCAUCGACCUCUUAGGUAGUGUGUUUUUCAACCCUGUCUCCUUUUAAGUGCGCCUUAGGGCCAUCAACCACCUUAGGUAGUGCGUUUUCUAACCAUACCUCCUUUUGAGUGCGCUUUAGAGCCUUUAACCACUUUAGGUGGUGGGUUUUCUAACCCUACCUCCUUUUAAGAGCUCCUUCGAGCCCUCAUCUUAGGUAGUGCAUGUUUUCCAACCCUUCCUCCUUUUAAGUGCGCCUUAGGGCCAUCAACCAUCUUAGGUAGUGUGUUUUCUGACCCUACCUCCAUUAUUGAAUGCGCCUUAGAGCCUUCGACCACUUUAGGUAGUGUGUUUUCUAACCCUGCCUCUUUUUUAGUGUGCCUUCGAGCCCUCUCAUCUUAGGUAGUGCAUGUUUUCUAACCCUACCUCUUUUUGAGUGCGCCUUAAGGCCAUCAACCAUCUUAGAUAGUGAGUUUUCUAACUCUACCUCCUUUUAAGUGUGCCUUCGAGCCCUAAUCUUUUAGGUAGUGUGUUUUCCAACCAUGCCUCUUUUUAAGUGCGCCUUAAGGCCAUCAACCAGCUUAGGUAGUGUGUUUUCAAACCAUACCUCCUUUUAAGUGCGCUUUAGAGCCUUCGACCACUUUAGGUAGUACGUUUUCAAACCUUACCCCCUUUCGAGUGCACCUUCGAGCCCUCACCACUUUAGGUAGUGCGUUUUCAAACCUUACCUCCUUUCGAGUGCAUCUUCGAGACCUCACCUCUCGGGUAGUGUGUUUUUCAACCCUACCUCCUUUAGAGUGCGCCUUCGAGCCCUAAUCUCUUAGGUAGUGUGUUUUCCAAACCCUGCCUCUCCUUUCGAGUGCAUCUUCGAGCCCUCACCUCUUGUGUAGUGUGCUUUCUAGCCCUAUUUUACCUUCUUUAGAGUGCGCCUUGGAGCACUCACCUCUUAGGUAGUGUGUUUUUCUAACCCUACCUCCUUUCGAGUGCGCUCUUCAACCCUCGUUCCCCAUCGAGUCCUAUCAUGUCAUCCCUUUCAGACAUUUUGUCUUUUCAUCCGGGCAGGUCACCCAUUAUAAUCAGACUUCUUUCAAAACUCUUUUCAUCUUCCAUUUGGGCCGGUUGCCCAUAACAAUAAAACCAUUUUUGAGAAAUCCUUGCAUUUCUCCCCACCUUCAAACUUUUUCCAUUUAGGCCGAUUGCCCAUAACAAUGAAACCAUUUUGAGAAAUCCUUGCAUUUCUCCCCAUCUUCAAACUUUUUCCAUUUGGGCCGGUUUCCCAUAACAAUGAAACCAUUUUGAGAAAUCCUUGCAUUUCUCCCCGACUUCAAACUCUUCCAUUUGGGCCGGUUGCCCAUAACAAUAAAACCAUUUUUGAGAAAUCCUUGCAUUUCUCCCCACCUUCAAACUUUUUCUAUUUGGGCCGGUUGCCCAUAACAAUGAAACCAUUUUGAGAAAUCCUUGCAUUUCUCCCCAUCUUCAAACUUCUUCCAUUUGGGCCGGUCGCCCAUAACAAUGAAACCAUUUUGAGAAAUCCUUGCAUUUCUCCCCAACUUCAAACUCUUCCAUUUGGGUCGGUCGCCCAUAACAAUGAAACCAUUUUGAGAAAUCCUUGCAUUUCUCCCCAACUUCAAACUCUUCCAUUUGGGCCGGUUGCCCAUAACAAUAAAACCAUUUUUGAGAAAUCCUUGCAUUUCUCCCCACCUUCAAACUUUUUCUAUUUGGGCCAGUUGCCCAUAACAAUGAAACCAUUUUGAGAAAUCCUUGCAUUUCUCCCCAUCUUCAAACUUCUUCCAUUUGGGCCGAUCGCCCAUAACAAUGAAACCAUUUUGAGAAAUCCUUGCAUUUCUCCCCAACUUCAAACUCUUCCAUUUGGGCCGGUCGCCCAUAACAAUGAAACCAUUUUGAGAAAUCCUUGCAUUUCUCCCCAACUUCAAACUCUUCCAUUUGGGCCGAUUGCCCAUAACAAUAAAACCAUUUUGAGAAGUCCUUGCAUUUCUCCCCACCUUCAAAAUUCUUCCAUUUGGGCCGGUUGCCCAUAACAAUAAAACCAUUUUGAGAAAUCUUUCCAUUUCUCACCACCUCUAAAUUUUUUCACCAUCUUGAGAAAUCUUCGCAUUUCUCAUCACUUUGAAAAAUCUCUGCAUUUUUCACCACUUUGAAAAAUCUCUGUAUUUUUCACCUCUUUGAAAAAAUCUUUGUAUUUUUCAAAACCUUUCAUCUGGGCCGGUUGUCCACUACAACAAAACCACAUUGAAAAAUCUUUGUAUUUUUCACCACCUUGGAAACUCUUUUCGUUUUCCAUCUUGGGCCGGUUGCCCAUUACAACAAAACCACUUUGAAAAAUCUUUGAAUUUUUCACCACUUUGAAAAAUCUCUGUAUUUUUCACCAUUUUGAGAAAUCUUCGCAUUUCUCACCAUUUUGAGAAAUCUUCGCAUUUCUCACCACUUUGAGAAAUCUCUGUAUUUUUCACUUCUUUGAAAAAUUUCUGUAUUUUUCACCUCUUUAAAACAUCUUCGUGUUUUUCACCCGGGUAGGUCACCCAUGACAAUUCGACCAUUUCAAAAUCUUUGAAUUUUCAAAAAAAAAAAUCUUCUUUUUUUCUUCUUUACAACGCUUACUAUCUUCUAUCAUAAGCAUUGUAAAGAGGGGGGCAACUGUCAUAACCCAAUUUUGGGUUAUUCCCCAAAAUUCUCUUUUUUAAAAAAAUAAAAAUAAAAAAAUAGAAUAAAGGCUGGCACUAUGGAGAAAGCUGAUAAAAAAAAGACUGCAAAAAUAGGCAAAAAUCGAAGGUCAAAUUAAAAGCAUAUUUGAAGGUCAAAUUAAAUGAUUAUUGGAUGAAUUUGCAUAAAAAUUAAGUCCAAUGAUAUAAUUAAAUUUUUAAUGGGCCAAUUUGAUUUAAUCAUGGGCCAAAUUAAAUUUUAAUUAUGUUUAAGAAUUAAUUUAGGUCCAAUUGAAGGAUUUAAUUAAGUGCAAGGACUUAAUUAUACUUUAAAUGGGUCAAAUUAAUUUGGGGGCUUAAUUGGUAAAAAAAUUAAGUUUGAGAGCUUAAUUUGGACUGAAUUAAAAAGAUUGAAAUUUUAAGACCAAAUUUAAUUUUUACCAAGUGAAUUAAACACAAAAAUUGAGGGACCAAUUUGGAAGCCCGAAACAAUGUCUUGCCUAUAAAUAGCAGCCAACAAAAAUGAGUAAAGGGGGGGUUCAUUUUGUAAUUUUGGGAGGAAAGAGAGAACCCUAAAAAAUAUACACAGCCGCCCCCUACUGGUUUUGGGUUUUUCUCCAACUAUAGUCAGCAGCUCCCCUGAAGCUCCCCCUAUUUUUGAUUUAUUUUCUUCUCCCCGGUUUGUUGCUUCCCCAAAACAGCAGCAACAUUGACAAACCAAAGAGCCCCCGCUGUUUUGUUUUUUUUUUUUCUCUUCUUUCCCACAAAACCAGCCGGUUUUCACUGCUUCCUCAUAACCAAAAGAACCCCUCUCAGCCAUGGGAACCUACUCCCUUCUCCCCAUUUUUACAAGACUGUAGCCCCAGCCUUCUCCUUCCAAAAAAAUCCAGUUGGUUCCUCCUCUGGCCGUUUCUUCCUUCAUCUUCCCUGCUUGAAACCGAACCCAUUCCUUCCUUCAUCUCCCCUGCACGCCGGCCUUCACGAUCUCCUCCUCUAGACUGAAUACAGAGGCAGCCUCCACUGUUCGUUAGCUGCUCUCGUCUCCACCAACAGACCGGCCUUCCACUAUAACCGACCAGUAGCAGCCCGACACAGCGGCGCCGACAGAUUCCCGAUCUGUCCGCCUCCAGCCAGCAGCCUCUGCUCUCGUCUUCAACCAUCCAAACGGCCAUAAGCAGUGGUGGCGUUGGACCCCAGAAGAUGAAAGGAAGAACAACAAACCAUAAUUAAAAAGAAAGACCCGAGAACAGAUCUGCAGAGGAGGAAAAAGAUUAAAAUCAACUGCCAUGUGUUGUGUUUUUGCUUCUUGUGCAGGUGACUGGAAGAUGCACCGCUGGUAUGGACGGGAAGAGAAGAAGGAGAUGAUCCAGAUCCGCCCGUUGCUGGCAUGUUCAGCGGCGCGUGAACCCACGCGCCGCCAGUGGCGGUGGAGCGUGGGAAGACGCGCCGCCACUGAAUCACAAUCGUAGAAGAUGCCCAGAAUUCCCCAGCACUGUUCCCAAAGCUAUUUUUGUAAUUUGCAAAUGUUGUUGUGUAUAUUUGGCCACUAUUGUGUUUUGAUUUAUUUAAUUAUUUUUCUUUGUUAUGUUGUAAACAUGUAAUUAUGGGUGAGUUCGCAUGAUAAAAAGAGAUGAGUGUGUGUGUGUGUUUUUUUAUUAUUAUUUAUUAUAUUGAAUUAUAAAGAAAAGAACAAAAAAGGAAUUAAUUGUUUAAUUUGAACAUGCAUAAAUAACUGAUUUAUCAAAGCCUUAGAAUUGGGUUAAAAAUUUUAUUUUUAAAAUUACAUCAAGCUCACGAAGCUUGAAUGUGGUGUGUAUUUUGUUUGUGAAUUUUUUUUUUAUGAUAAAAUUGCAGGAAUAAAGAAGGAUUUAAUAUUUUGAUUGGAUCACAGUGUAGAAGUACAAACUUGUAUGGAAGUUGUAUUUCUAAAAUCCGAUGAAAAAACAAAAUUUUUAAAACUUCUUUAACACAUCAAGUCCACGGAGCAGCUUACCUCAGGUAGGGUGUGUUAGGGGUGCUCAUACCUUCCCUAACCACAAUCAGUCCUUUACCCGCGAAUCUCUGACUAUGACCAGUUCAUCAGGGUUUCCUAGUAACCUCAAUUAAAUAUUAGGUGGCGACUCCUAACGAAUCAAUUCAAGCAAAUGCCACAACGAGAGCAUAAAUCGCCAGCCCAUCGCCGCGCGGGGAUUUUUCGACGUGCGACAAUCUUAAUAAGUAUCUAUAAAGAUAUAUAAUGUACAAAAAUUAAAGCUAGCUAUAGAGAAGAAAGACUCAUAGAAUUAUAUAUAUGUUGAAUGCCACUUAGGAUACAUGUGGACCGUAUUCAAAUUCAAAGUUAUACUAAAAUUGCUAAAUUAUACUCAUCUGCAUAAAGAUUGUUAAAGGAAAAAAAAGAUAUAUGCACAACAUGAUGGGAAAUUAAGAGACUUAUUGAAUGUGUGUAUUUUACUUUUGUUAUAUAAUAAUUAAUUAUUAUAUAUAAAAAAAAGACCUAUAAUGAUUUUGUAUCAAAUAAACGAAAGAAAAAUCGUGAAUCACCCAGCACUGAGACAAUGAUAGACAUAGUUUGUUGUAAUUGGACAAGCACAAGUUAAUUUUCUUGACUUCUACUGUUCUCCUCCAUUUUUAGGUUAAAUUCCAAAACCACCAACACAAAAGCAAAGAAACAUGAAGUAAGAGAUAAAGAAGGGAGAUAGAGUACUAAUUUAUACAUCAUACAAUCCCACCAAUGUGAAAGAAAAAAGAGAAGAUACAAGAAACUUACGAUCAUAAUAUAUUUGUCAGCUAAAGAACAUAAUUCCAGAACUUUUCAUUAUGAUCUUCAGCCAUUAUAUAUAUGAAUACAACCUUAUUAUCAUUAUCUGUUAGCGAUCUCGUUUCAUUUUUUAUAGUUUUUGGUACUUCAUUUUUAUGUUAGCAAUUUGUUUUGCUAUUGUUCUGUAAUUUUCUUGUAUCGUCUGAUAUUAUUAAUCUUGGGUGUCAUUAUGCUGAGCGUUGCAUCCACUCCACUUUGAGCAGGUCUUUGGUAUUUUACCACAACAGUACCAUAACGAUGGGGAUCAUCCUUGUAAUACUUGUGGUUCUUUUUCAAGUAGUGUAGUUACAUUGCAUAUACAUAAAAAUUCACAUUCAUAUUCCAUAUUAACCACUUCUAUCUUAGUGAGAAGCUGUCAGCUCCAUCCGUUUUUAUUCUGACAAACACUGUGUAAGUCAAACAUUUAUCCACCAUUUAGCCCGAUAAACAGUAGUAUGCAUGGUGUUAGUCAUUGAAAGAUAAACAACACUAAAAUUCAAAAUGGUUGGAGUUAGAUAAUAUAUUAUCAAUAUAUAAUUUAUAAAUCUAUAUUUUAUAUAUAAACUAGAGCCAAGUUUGCCUUUUUCUUUUUAAAAUCUGGGGUCAACUAAAGAGUGUUUUUAGCUUUAAUUGUAUUGGCUACAAGUGAUUCGUUAGCAAUCUCAGUAAUAAUUUUAUUGGUUGUUAUUAAAUGAAAUUAGCUAAGUUAAAAUUGGUGAGGCAAGAAAUGAUUAGGUAAUUUUUAAAAAAAGUAAAAGUCUAAUAACAUUUUAAAUUAUUGGCUUCAUGGUUAUAAUUUUUCAAUUUUAACAAAUAAUCAUUAAAUUCAUAUGUAUAUAAAGUAUUUAAUUUUAAGAUUUAGUGGUUUGUUUUAAGAAUCAUAAUUGUAUAUAAGUUGAUGAUUUUAAAAUAAAUAAUAUUGCAUAGACAAUGCAAUAAAUACAAGUUAAAUUAUUUUGUAAGAAUGACAUUAGAAUAAUGAUUGAAAGAAUGUUGGAUUGCUAUUGAUUUUAUCAUUGAUAAAUAUAUGUUUUGAUACAUAGUAAAAUUAAGCAAAUGGCAUGUGAUAGUGUCCAUAUAAAUAAUGAGUGAUGGUUAUUGAUAUUAUUAUUGAUCACAAAUCUAAAUUUGGUUAACAUAAUAAUAAAAGAUAAUUAGAUAUUAUUCUCUAAUAAUUGCUUUUGAUUAUGAUUGAAUGUUGGGAUAUGAGAAACAAACCAUUCUAAUCAAUCAUUUUAAAGUCUAAUUAUUGCUUUCAUUAAUUUAAAAACUUUAAUUGGUUCUCUCUCCUCUGUGUACUACAAAAUAACAAAAUAAUUUAAACUCCAACUUAUCUGUACUCGUUUACCCUCUAUGUUAAAAAUUCUUUUGUGCAGUGGUUGUGUUGUAAUUUACAUGAACAUUAAAAAUGCUUGAAUACCUUUAGAAUUGAAUUUUUUAUUUUACCCUUAAACUUGUUUGUUUUUUUAUAUAUUUCUUACAUUUACUUGCGUUACUUGGACUAUCAAUUACUUAUUUUUUAUUUUAAUUUUGAUUUUUUAUUUUAAUUAAUAUUAUUUUUUAUUAUGUUUUUUUUUUAAUAAUUUGAUGAGACACUGAAAAACUUUUAUUAAUGUACAAGGAUUAUUCAAUUCGUUAUGUAAUCAUAAUUAUAAAAUAACAAUGUUUUGUUGUUAUUAUAUAUAUAUAUAUAUAUAUAUAUAUAUCCUUUUAGAUAAUUUUACAAUCAAACCUCAUACAAAAAAUAUAUUAAUUAAAUACAAGAAAUUAUUUUUUUUAAUUAUAAUUCCAACCAUAGUUUUAAUCAAAUACAUCAAAUUUUAAAAUAACCUUCACAAAAAACAUAUUUUAUUAAACUAUUUUUUCAAAUCCCAAUCAAAAAACAAUCACAAUACCAAACAGGUUUUUAAAAGAAUGAAGUCUAAUUAUUGCUUUCAUUAAUUUGAAUACUUUAAUUGGUUCUUUCUCCUAUACAUGCUACAAAGUAACGGAAUAAUUUAAAUAUCAAAUUAUCUAUACACGUGUACCUUCUAUAUAGAUUGAUGGGAUAUGAGAAAUCUUGGGCCACUCAGAGCCAUUCUCCUUUCUACAAUUUUCUUCAAGAUGUGGACAUCCCAAGAUACUCAAUGCCUUUAAUUUGGAGAGGCGUUGAAUGGCUGUUGAACUUGGCAUAUACUUGAGAUUCUUGCAAUCCACAAUCCAAAGAGAUUGAAGAGAAGAAAGGUUACCCAACCAAUCUGGCAAUGCUUCCUCUCCCUUGAAAUCCCUUAUAAACAAGCUAGUAAGGGCAGUGAGGUGUUGAAGUUGGUGGGGUACACUCUUUAGUUUAUCCCAUCCACGUAUCCCUAGAGAUUUGAGGGACCCACUUAAGUUGAGGUGUUGGAAUGAGUUUAAAACUCCUACAGGAAAAGCCUCCAUCUCCUCUGAGAAACCACCGAUCCUCAAUUCCUCCAGUUGGGUGAGUCUGCCUAAGCAAUCAUCCUCUAGGAAAUCACUCAAACUAGAACACGUGGUGAUUUCUAAUUCAACAAGAGAAUGCAAUUGUCGUAAACCAUGCCAAUCAAUAUUGAUGAGCUUAUCACAUGAAUGAAUCCAUAAGCUUCGAAGCGAAGACAAUCCUUGUAAAUCACUGAUAUGGAUAAGCUCACUCCAAUCCCGUAUCAGCAAUUCCUCUAGGGAUGCGCAACAUUGUAGUCCGCUUGGAAGAGCUCCCAAUUUACACCCAUAAACCAUCAAUUUCUUCAACGAAUUCAAAUCUCGAAAAUCACCAGGAAUUGAGAUCAACUCAUCGCACCAAUAUAUACCCAAUUCCACCAGAGCUGUGCAGUGUUGUACGCUUGGAAUAGAUGCCAGCUUUGGACAAAACCGUAUCUCUAAAAUUUGAAGAGAUGUGAAGCCAUGAAACUCACCAGAAAAAUAUCUCAGACCAUCACAUCUGUCAAUUUUAAAAUCUACAAGAGAUGAAAGACGACAUUUCGGAAUGCUUUCCAACUUUCCACAAUUCGCAAUGCUCAACUUUUCAAGACUAGGAAAUACUUGAUCACCUUCUCCACCUGGUACCAUCCAUUUUUCAAGACAAUCCAUAUCCAACAAACUGAAUUCUUUUAGUGCUGGAAACAGUACUGCUGCACCGCCACUGCUACUAUAGAACUCAUUGCCUAUACAUUUCACAUUAGGCAUUCCACGUAUCUCUAGAAUCUUAAGACGAGGAAGGCAUCCAAGUGUUGGGAGUUGUCUGCACUUGCUGCAGUCUUUCAAUCUCAGCUCCAUCAGAUUAUUGAGUUGCAAUAUCCAUGAUGAGAAAUCUUCACCUCCAUAACCCUUAAUUGUCAAGCUUCUUAUGUCUGGGUGAGGUUGCAGGCCUUUCAGCGCAUCCUCCUUGUUAACACUGCUGUUACCUUCGUCAUCACUCCAUUCAAACACCAAUUUGUUCAUUCUUUUUCCACUCAGUUCUGCCUUCUCAGCUUCUUCUCUGUCUCUCACUUGCUCAAGCUUGCAUAUCUUCAAUGCUCCUCUUAGUUCUUUCAAACAUCCCAGCUCUUCAACCAUAUGAUCUGGACCCACAGCAAAUAAAGGCAGAGUUUGAAGGCGUGUUAAGAGUCUCACCUCAUCUGGCACUAGCUUUGGAUCAUCAAAAUGAAGAUGUCUCAAGCUGACUAAAUUCCUCAUUUUCUUGGGAAGCUUUUCUAGUAACUUGCAAUCAGUGAAUCUUAAUGUUUCCAAAUGGUAGAGCUUGGUGAUGGAUUCCGGCAAUUCUCUGAUAGCAGUAUCCGAGACAUCAAGAUAUCUCAAAUAUCUCAGCUUGCAAAUUGAAUCUGGUAACUCUGUGAUACCAGACCGUCGCAAUUUGAGAGUUCUCAAGCUUUUGAAUUUCCAAGACCAAUUGAAUACAUCAACCAUUGAGAAAACAGUUCGUAAUUUUCUAGCAUCAACCGCUGUUAAUGCUGCCUCAUCAUCCCCACGAGAUAUGAGAUUUAGAUGACGAAUAUGAGAUGCACCAUCAACAGCCGAAUCCUCCUCCAGAUUUAACGCUUCUGAUUUUGAGACCUGUAAUGCAAGAUCAUGCACAAGAUCAUGCAUCUUGCAGCUUGUUACGAUCUCACACUCAUUCCUUUCAACAUCUUGGAAAAAGGAAUUUGCAAGCAAGUCAUUGAAACACUUGUUGCCUUCGUCUUCCAUCCUCCCAGUUGAUGUCCCGAGAAAACCUUCAGCCAUCCAAAGUUGAAUUAGCUCUUCCCUUUCAAUUUCAAAAUCUUUAUGGAAAAUGGAACAAUAUGCAAAACAUUGUUUCAGUGUUGGCGAUGACAGGUAAUCAAAACUUAAUCUCAAUACGCGCAAAGCUUUAUCUCCAUCCCGAGAAUCCCAAAUUCUACUGUUUAGAAUUGACUUCCAUUCCUGCGUCUCAUUUUGGCGCAGUGUUCCUCCCAAAACUUUAGCAAGUAAUGGAAUCCCUCCACAUUUCUUUGCAAUCUGUUUUCCGAUAGACUCCAAGUCUGAAGGUAUUGUUUCUCCUCCACCCCUGCUCACCUUUUGCUUGAUAAUGCACCAACAUUGAUCAGCUGAUAGUCUCCCUGGCUCGUGCUGAAUCCCAAGAGAAGUCCCCAUCAUGUCUGCUACUUUCUUACUGCGGGUUGUAACAACAACAGCAUUCCCAUUCUUGCUGUUAAUUUUUAACAGUUGCUCCUUCAAAUCAUCCCACUUACCAUGGUCUUCAUUCCACACGUCAUCAAGAACAAGAAAAAAUGUUUUAUUUUCCAGCGCUUUCUUAAGGUUUUGAAGAAUUGCAUCAAGACUGUUCAACCCACCCGUAGUUUUGUCAAUCAUUUGCAACAUUGCUCCUAAAAUCUUCACUUGAUUAAAAUCAUUAGAAACACAAACCCAAAUUGUUAAAUCAAAGUGUUUUCUCUCCCUCACAACUGCACAAACCUUUUUUGCUACAGUAGUCUUUCCAAGGCCAGCCAUCCCCACUAUAGGGACAACCGAAAGGACAUGUUGGUGUUUGGUCAAGCUAGUCAGAAUAUCCAUAACUAUAGAAACAUCAUCCUCCCUUCCUACAAUUUCUGAGCUGUCAAGGAAGGAAUCUGUCUGUCGAUCUUGAUCCCAGCUAACUUCUUGAGCUCUAUCUACAUGUAGAGAUGUGAAUUGAAAUACAGCUGCAUCUUUUCGAAUUUCAUCCAGUGCUCCAUUGAUCUCCUUAACUUUUUGACCCAUAUUCAGACGGAAUGCGACAGGGUUGUGGAGUGAAAAGCAGUCACGUACCUUUCCCUUCUUUUGGUCUUUUCGGAGAAUCUCAUAAGCAAACUCGUCUAGAACAUCUUCAGCAUCGUAAGCUACAUCUUGUAGUUUCUCCAGCCAACCCUUCACAGAAUCGUCUGUGACUGACCUUCUUGCUGCAUCUUGGAGCACAUCUCUGAUCAUGAUCAAGGACUGCUUGAGCUUUCGCAGCUGUCCCUCCAAUCCCCAAGCAAGUCUGAUCCCUUCAGCAGCUAUGGAACUGACCCUUGUCAAAGUCUCCUCCAUGGUAAACGUAAGAACAAGCUCUACUGCCAUAUUCUCUUGUUUUCUCUGGGAAAUCAAAGAAGAAAGAUCGAGCAAAAGAGAGAUAAAUGGUCUGAAAGUUUUGAAGUAGAGACGAAAUGAAGUGCGUUUUGCGAUGGGGAGAUGCAUUCAACUUGAAAGCAGAGGGUCCCUCCCUCACUGUAUUAAUUGAUCGAUGGCAGCUGGCAGCAUCUUCUUCCAGUCUUUCUUGCGUUCUUUCUUUCUUCUUUUUUAUGCAGCGAGUUGUUAAGGACAUGAUUUAAAAAAAAAACAAACAUAUUUAAUUGCAUUUCCUAACCUUACGUGCAGUGUUCUGCAAAAUCUUUCUUUAUAUAAACAUAUAUUUGAGUUAAAAAGUAUUCUAAUGGCCGGCCAGUUGCUUUCUAGGACACUACUUUUUCAAUCAAUGUGAUGAGAUUUGUCAUAUGACUUAUGCUUUAUAGAAAUUUAUUUUUCUGAAAACUAUUUUCUUCACUUUUUCAUGUUUGGCAAGCACAAGUAAAAUGGGUCAAAAGAAACUCAAUUCCAGUCAAUAGGAAAAAUAAAACGUGAGAGCAGGAAAGUGUUUUCCUUCCUUUAUUCUAAGGAAAACACUUUCUCAUUCUCUGUAUGCUUUUUUUUUUUUAACAGUUCAUGUUAAUUGCACUGUUCAAUGAACAGUGCAAUUAACAUGAACAGUUUAUUACGUACACUGUUCACUAAAAAUAGUGAACAGUGCAGUUCUCUUGCACUGUUCACUUGCCUGCGGGAACUUUUUUUUUUUUUUUUUUUUUUUUAGUGUGCUAUUUUUUUAACAUUUAAAAAAAAACUAGUUUAGAGUGAAUUUUAUACCUUAAUAUUUUAUCCAAUUUUAUUACAUGCUAAAAAUAUUAUUAAAACUAUAGUUUUUGUCGGAUAUAUUUCGUACGUAAUGGAAUUAUAAAUGGUUUCAUGGAAUAGUAAAAAAUAUUUCACAAGCUUAUUUCUCUAUAAUAUGAUAUAUAUAGUUAUAUUUUAUAAAAUAAGCUAUGUAUGAAUAUAGGAUAUAAUAAAAAAAAAAUUCAUCAUUAUACAUUUUAGAUUUUUUUUAUUGUAAGUGAUUAAAUAUUUUAUAUAUAUUAGAUAAAUUUGAAAAAAAUAAUAAUUCAUUAAUAAAUUAUUUUCCAGUUUAUUUUCCAUAAUACAAUCAAACACUGGAAAGUGUUUUCCAGUUCAUUUUCCAUAACACUACCAAACAUCGAAAAAUACUUUCCUGGAAUUCACUUUACAGGAAUUCACUUUCUCCGGAAUUCACUUUCCAAAAAAAAUUCACUUUCCUGCAAACAAACGGAGCCUUAGUAUUAGUGCAUUAUGAAGUCAUACAUUAACUCCUUGUUCAAGGCCCUCAAUUAUAUUUCUUAAAUGCGACAAAAGAAAUGGCAGACAAGAGAGCUUGCGACCUGCGCAUCCGAUGUGAUCACCCCCUAACAUAUUAAUUGUCAAUAAUCAGAUUAAUUAUUAUUGAUCCAUGUUUAUUUGAUAUCAUAUUUGUAUUUGAUUUCAUAUAAAGAAAAACACUCAAGGUGGCUGCGUUUUCCAGAAUCACACGAACUAACCCCUGUUUUUAGCUAAUUGAUUUUUCUUCGAGUGGUGUGCUAAUACAUAGGUAGCAUCGCACCCUGAUGUGCCUGACCAUGUUAAUUAUUUCGUUUUGCUGUCUUUAGAACAGAGUGUUGUGUUUCAUUCUCCUUUCCUAUGCACUAUCCAUUUCCAUGUGCUUAAGUCUAUUCCCUCAAUAGUUUACAGAAGUGUUUGCCUUGUGAUACUGCGAGAUGCCCCCUUGCUUUCUGCUGCAAUUCUUUUUUCUUUUUUUUUUGUCUGGCUAAACGACAUGAAUAUCAUUAGAAAACUUACUGAAUUUGACAUUAAUCACAGUGAAUUGUGUGUGUGCGUGUGUGUGUGUGUGAGUUGACUUAUUGUGAUGAAAGUAAGCAGUUGGCCGGUCAGUUGCUUUCUAGGAAUUUUAUUCUUACGGUGAAGAAAAUAAUAGAGAUUUAGGGUAGGAUCCCAAUCACAAUUCACCAAAUAUCUUAUAUUACCCAGCAUAAUAUUAUAUUAUAAUAUUUAUGAAUUAUUUUGUAAUGAAUUUUAUUGUUAAAAAAUUCUUUUAUAUAAUACAAAUAUAUAAAAUAUAUGAUGUGAAUAAAAAAAUUAUUUCCAUCAACUUUAAUAUAAUAAUAUUAAAAUUAUAAUUUUUCUAAAUACUAUUGCAAUUAUCUCAAUUCAUCAAAAAUCUGGAAUCAAGAUACUGAAAAUUAACAACCGGAAAUACUAACCUUUAGACUUUUUAUCUUGUUUUGGUUUCACAUGAGGAAUAUCUUUAGAGUUGUUUUUUUAUACUAAAGACUUUCCGUUUAUUUGUUAAAAAGUAUUUGUUUUGGAAAGUGAACUUUAAAAAAGUGAAUUAUUUUUUGAUGUUUGGUAGUGUAAUGAAAAAUAAAUUGAAAAAUAUUUUUUAGUAUUUGAUUAUGUCAUGAAAAAUGAGCUGUAAAAUAACUUAUUAAUGUUUUAUUUUUUUUAAGUUUAUUAAAAUAAUAAGGAAUAAAUCUUACAAAUUAAAAAAUUGAAUGAGAAUGAAAUUGAAAAAAAUAUAAUUUCAUAAAUUAUCUCAAAUAAAAUAAAUAAUAAUCAAAAUAAUAAAGAUCAAAUCUAACAAAAAAAAUUGAAAGAUGAAGAAAUUAAAAUAAUAAUAAUUACCAUUUCAUAAAUUAUUUCAAAUACAAUAAGUAACAAUUAAAAGAAUGAGGACUAAAUUUUAUAGAUAAAAAAUUAAAAUUAAAAAAUGAUAAGGAAAAAGCAAAUAAACAAUAUAUAUAUAGCAAUAAAAAAUUUGAGGAUCAAAUUAAUUUGAUAUAAUUGACAAAUAAUAUGAUAUUACUAAAUUUUUUAUAAUUUUCAAAAAGUAUUUUCCAUAAAAAAAAAACACUUUCAUAGAAACCAAAUCAAAUAAAAGCCAAGCCUAAAAAUAUAUAUUUGAAAGUUUGGUUUGAGAGCCAAGCCUAUCCACGGCAUGGGUUCAAGAGUAUUUUUGGACUCUAGCAUCCUAAAAAAAAAAAAAAUAGUGCAGAAAUUUACAAAAAUAACAUAAUUUCAAGACUUUUUUAUUUUGCAAUAAAAAUUUAGAUAUUCUGCAAAUAUAUUUAUAUAAUAUAAACAUACAUUUCAGAUUAGUUUUGAGAAAUUUCAAGUUAGAUUUGAUAGUAUUCAUAUCAUUUUUAUUAUCUAUCAUGUUUAAAAAAUUCCUACCUGUUCACAUUCAUAUUAGGUAAAUAUUCAUUAUAUUCAAAUUAAAUUAUCAUCUUUAAUAGCAAUACGAAACUAGCAGUAAGUAUUUUGGGUAAGUUCUAGGUAUAAUUCAUCUUUUUCAAAAAUAAAAAGCAGCAAAAAAAUGUUUUUCUUGCUAUUAAUUUUUGGAUUGUAUCGCGGUUCGAACGAUGAAAACAACAAGGUCCACCACCAAAUCUAAAUUCCUCGGGCCACACACAGACCUGCAUUUCCAGCAACUCUCAUUCUCUCUGGUUUCUUUUUGUCUCAAGUUGUAAACCGAGCAUACAAGCCUCGGGUUUCUGGAUGGAAAAUAGUGUAUCUUUUGUGUGGUCUACAAGGCUUUCAGUAAUUUACUUGAUGAAUGACUACCUUGUAACAGAUUUGAAACUUGUUCAAAAACAUAAGUUUUUAGGUGAAACUGUGUUAAAAGACCUAAUUUCAUUUAAAAUACUAUUAGGAACGACAACAAGUAUUUAUUAAUUCGGUUUCUAUUAUAUACUUGCUCUAUUUAAUAUCUGGAUAUUAUUUAUUAGACAACAUAAAUAAAAAUUAUAUAUAUAUGUAUUAAAUAAUAAAAUUAUCAAUAUUAUACAUAUAUUAUGCAACAUGAAAUAAAAAAUUAAUAUAUCUAUAUAUAUAUAAAUAUAUUAAAUGAUAAAAUUAUAAAUUAAAAAACUCUAAAAGGCAUGGGGAAAUCACUGUAGCUUCCCCACGCCUUUUAAUUAUACUUAAUAUAAUAAUAAUAAUAAUUAUUAUUAUUAUUAUUAUUAUAUAAUUAUAAUUAUAAUUAUAUUAUUAUAUUAUAAUAUAUUUUUCUCUUCUGUAACAGUUUUUUUUCUGUUUUUUUUUCUGCGUUUUUUUUUUUUUGUUUUUUUUUUGAGCUUUUGUUUUUUCCCACUUUUGUUUCUUCUUCAUUUUUUUUACAUGUUUUUUUUUCUUUUUCUUUUUUACCCAAAAUUGACUUCUUCUUUUUUUUUCUUUUUUUUUUUUUUAAAUUAUCUUUACUAAUUGUUUUAAAUAAUGAGCUGGUUGAAAAUUUAACUAUGUAGCUUUUUUCUUUAAAACAUUGUGGAUUGCUAUAAUAUUCUCAUACAUUGUUUUUUUUUUUCUUUUUUAUGAUUUAUUUAUUCUUUUCUUAUUCAAAAUGAUAUUUGUAGAUUUUAUUUUUUUUAUAUUAAGUUGGUUGAGAAUUUAGCUUUGUAAUUUAAAAAAAAAAAAACAAUAUGGAUUGCUACAGUGUUUCCCCUGCAUGGUUUUUGUUUUGCUGCAGUGUUUCCCCACAUAUGUUUUUAAAAAAUUAUCUUUAUCGAAUUUAUUUUUUCAAUAUUGAGCUGACUGAUAAUAUAGCUUUAGCUUUCCCCACAUGUUUUUUUUAUUUUUUUAUUUCUUUUUCUUUUUUUCCAAAAUUGUCAUUUUUUACAUAUUUUCUUUUUGUUUUGUUUUGUUUUUUUUAGAAUUAUUUUUGUUGAUUUUAUUUUUUUUGCUAUUGAGCUGGUUGAAAUUUUAGUUUUUUUGGUUUUUUCUUUAAAACACUAUAGGUUUCCCCGCGUGUUUUUUUUCUCGCUUUUGUUUCUUUCUUUUUUUCAUUUUUUUUUACCUAAAAUUGAAUUUUUUUAAAAAAAAAUAGUCUUUAUCAGUUUUUUUUUUAUAUUGAGCUGGUUGAGAACUUAGCUUUGUAGCUUUUUUAUAUAAAAAAAAAACACUAUGGAUUGCUACAGUGUUUCCCUUACAUGGUUUUUAUUUGUCUGCAGUGUUUCCCCCACAUGUUUUUUUUUUUAAAUUAUCGUUGUCGAAUUUAUUUUUUCAAUAUUGAGUUGGUUGAGAAUUUAGCUUUAGCUUUAGCUUUCCCCACGUUUUUUUUGUUUUUUCCCCCAAAACAUUAAAUAUUAGUGUUUCCCCCAAAAUUGUCUUUCUUCUUUAUAUUUUUUUUUCAUAAUUAUUUUUGUUGAUUUUAUUUUUUUACUAUUGAGCUGAUUGAUAAUUUAGUUUUUUAAUUUUUUUUUCUUUAAAACACUAGAUUGCUGCAGUGUUUCUCUACAUGGUUUUUUAUUAAAUAAUUUUUUUUUUCAGAAUUAUCUUUGUCGAUUUUAUUUUUUUUAUAUUAAGCUGAUUGAGAAUUUAGCUUUGUAGUUAUUUAAAACACUGUAGAUUACUACAAUGUUUUCCCACAUGAUUUUUGCCUUGCUACAGUGUUUCCCCACAUGUUUUUUUUGUCGAUGUUUUUUUUUCCAAAUAUGUUUUUGUCAAAUUUAUUUUUUUCAUACUGAACCGGCUAACAAUUUAGCUUUUUUUCCUUAAAACAUCGUUGAUUGCUACAGUGUUUUUCGAUAUGCUUUUUUUUGUUAUGUUUUUUUUUUAAAUGGUCUUUGUUUUUUAUUGUUUUUGAUAUUGAGCUGGUUAAAAAUUACAACUUUAGAUUUUCUCAUGAAACACUUUAGAUUGUUAUAGUGUUUCCAUGGAUGUUUUUUUUUCCUUUCGUUUUUUUUUUAUAUUUGUCAAAAUUAUCUUUAUUGAUUUUUUUUUUAAUAUUGAGCUGGUUGAGAAUUAUAGUUGUAUAUUUCCUCACAAAACACUAUAGAUUGCUACAGUGUUUUCUUAAAUAAUUUUAAUAUUUAGCUGGUUGAAAAUUUAGCUUUAACUUUCCCCACAUGUUUUUUUUUCAUUUUUUAUUAUUUGCUUUUUGCUUUUUUUUUUCUUCCAAAAUUGUCAUCUUCUUUUUUUCAUUUUUUUGUGUUUUUUUUAUAAUUGUUUUUGUCAAUUUUGUUUUUUAAUAUUGAGCUGGUUGAGAAUAUAGCUUUGUAGUUUUUUCCUUUAAAAUAUUGUGGAUGGUAGCAUUUUUUUAUAUGAUUUUUUUCACAAAUCCACAAUAAUGCACAAGCAUGCCACAAGCCCGCAGCAUCGCGCGGGCAUGUCACGCCUUUUACUAAUAUAUUUACUUAUUAAUAUAUUAUAUUACUAUAAUUAUUAUAUUAUAAUUAUAAUUAUAAAUAUUGUUAUAUUGUAUUGUAUUGUAUUAUAUAACUAUUUUUUUCUUUUUAAUUUUUUUUAAUGAAUUUUUUUUGUUUGAUUUAGUUUGUUAAUGUUAAUUUUUUUUUAUUUAGUUAUCAGAUUUUCAUGAUACGGAUCUCGGGUUUGAUGGGUUAGCUUGAUUUGACAAAUUAUUUUUUUCAUUUAGUUUAGUUUGUUAAAGUUAAUUUUCUUUCUAUUUAAUUAUCAGACUUUCAUACUUUCAUGACACGUGUCCUUAGCUUGACGGGUUAACUUGGUUUGAUGGGUUAACCCAGUUAAUUCUGGGUAAACCCGUCAUUUGUUUUUCUAUUUAGUUAUCAAACUUUCAUGAUGUGAAUCCCAGGUUUUACGGGAUAACCUGGUUUAAAGGGAUAACCCAAUUAAUUCAAUUUUUUUUCUUUUUUUUCAUUAGUUUUUCCUUUCUGUUGAUUUUUUUUUUGUGUUUUUUUUAAUCAAUCUAUUUAAUUAUCACACUUUUAUGACACGACCUUAUAUUUAGACCCACAUCCAAUAUUCUUGAGUCCAGUGUUGCAGCCAAACCCAAGUUUCUUGGGUAUAACUUUGCAGAAAAACCCAAGAUUUUUUUUUAUUUUUUUUUAUUUUAAUAUUUUUUAUGCAAAAAAAAAUAACAUGCGGCAUCGCGCGGGUCAAGUGUCUAGUAUAUAUGUAUAUCAUGUCAGUAUUAUAUAUUUUUUUACAUAUAUAUAUAUAUAUUAUAUUGAAUUAAAAAAAAUACAUACAUACAUUAUAGUAACACAAUUUCUUGUCUCAUGAACACAUAUUUGAGAGCCGGUUACUUUUCGCUUUGAGAUUUUUUUGAAAAGUAUUAUUGUUUUUUGAAAAUAUUGAUUUUUUAAAUAUUUUUAAUAAUUUUAAUGUAUUAAUGUUAAAAAUUAAAAAUAUAUUUUUUUAAAUAUUUUUUUAAAGAAAAACAAAUAGUUUUGAAAAACAAUAUUGACGACAUUACAAAACAUACACUGAAUAUAAACCCCAGCUGCAUGCCGGUCUUAUUAUUAAUAAUAAUAAAUAAAUAAACAAAUAAAAAUUAAAUAAAAGGAAGAAAUGAAAAAUGAAAAAAAUAUUGUUUUCUGUUUUUAAUAAACAAUUUUUUUUUUGUUUCGUUUUUUCCUUAAAAAAAAAUUAUAAAAAAAUCACUUUCUUUUGUGAACCAAAUAUCUAGGGAUGAACUUCCCAAAAAAUGCUAAUGAGAUGACCAGAAUCAAUUUGUGGGCCGAUUCAACAAAUCUCUUGUAAACCACUUAGCAGCAUCAUCAUGGCGAUGAUAUCUCCAAAAUCACUACUGCAAGUACCAUCACCUACUUGUCUUUCCUCUGCAAAAUAUGGCCAAUUUCUCUCAGUAACAACCACCCCUACUUUCUCUCCCAAAAGAAAACCCCUUACUCUUAUCACUACCCGCAGUGCUAAGAAACCCUCACGUCUCAUCAUGGGGGCCUCUGCAUCCAGUUUCUCAGCAGACAUAGGUGGAGUCCUAAGUGAUGUUAGCAUUUUUACCACUGCUGGUCAACCUGUCAUGUUUAAGGAUCUCUGGGACCAAAACGAGGUUUUAAUAGUUUCUCUUAAUCUAAUGCUGCAACUGUGUGUAACAGUUUACUUUUAAUGUUUAACUCAAUAAUUUUUUGGUUAACUAUGUAGGGAAUUGCUGUUGUUGCCCUUUUGAGACACUUUGGAUGUCCUUGCUGGUUAGUCAUGUAAUGAUGUUUCCUUGUCUUGAAAAAAUGUUGUUAUUAACAUAUUUAUUUGUUGUGCCUGGUUUUUGAUCAUGAUGAAAAAGUUGGGAACUUGCUUCCUCGUUAAAGGAAUCGAAAGAAAAAUUCGAUUCAUCCGGGGUCAAGCUAAUUGCAAUUGGUGUCGGUACUCCAAAUAAAGCUCGUUUGCUGGCUGAAAGGGUAUGUAGUGGUUCUUGAAUUAUCCAUCUUGUUUUAUUUAUGUUGACAAGCUGGAAUAUUGAUGGUUUGGCAGCCAUCAAUCAUUAACCUGGUGACAUUUAUUAAAUAAAGAUUGAAAAUUAUUAUAAUGGAUCCUUGGACACUUCUUGCUUUGCUUUCUUUCUCUAACAAGUUAAGUUUAAGGUGAGCGGCUCAAUUUAGGGUGGUGCUGUUUUGUUUCGUGUUUUUUUCGUGUAACAGUUGCAAAAAUCGUAACACACAAAAGGAAAAGGAAACCUGAGCAUGCGCGGACAUAUUUAUAAACCAGCCUUCAAUUCAAUAAUCGUUCUUUUCUGGUUUUUUUUUCUUUAUAUGUUGUAGUGCCUGGCUAUUGGAUUCACUUGUGUGUUUUUGUGUGUUACAUCCAAUCCAUAUAGUAAGAACCUCAAUUUGUAAAGUUUCCAUUCGUGAACUUUUGUCUUUUGAUUUGGCUUGCUGCUUUCUGCUCUAAAUUUUGCAGUAAAGCAUCUUCUGUAAACAUCUUUCCUAAGGUUGGAGAUGCUUGCUUUUCUGUAUUACUGUACCACAUAUAUAUCGUCAAUGAGCAAUUAUUCAAUACAACAGGAGAUACUCCUCCCUCACAUAUUAAUGGGGUUCGCAGUUUGUGAUUAUGGUGGGUCCCACUUGCAUGUGAGAGGCUGUUAGUAUACUGCCGGAGUGUUGAAUAAUUUCCAUCAUCGACCAUUUUUUCAGGAAAUUCCAAGCCAUCACUGCAUUUCUUUCUUUUGUUGUUUUUGUAACCCAUGGGCUGUUUUUCUUUGGGGCAUUGCUGUAACUGAUCAAUGUCUUGUUGAUGUUGCAUGAUCAGUUACCAUUUCCAAUGGAUUGCCUUUAUGCUGAUCCUGAGCGCAAGGUAAUAAUAUAUAUUCAAGCCUUACAUCCACUUGUAUUUCUUAGUUUACUAUGGCAGACACUGAAAGACACACUGUAUUUUAGGCUUAUGAUGUCUUGGGCUUGUACUAUGGUCUUGGACGGACAUUCUUCAAUCCGGCUAGUGUAAGCUUCCUUUUUUAUGCUUUCUGUUGAAGUCUGCUUGGAGCAUGUCUUUAUUUGCUGCAGGCAUCAUUUUUCAUGUUUUUGUUACAGGCUAAAGUUUUUUCAAGAUUUGAUGCUCUGCGAAAAGCUGUGAAAAACUACACCAUCGAAGCCACCCCAGAUGAUAGAAGUGGUGUACUGCAACAGGUUUGAUUUAUUCCUGUCUUCUAUCUGUUGAAUAAGCUUCAACAUUACGGAGAGCCCAAGAUAUCCUAUACAAGAGUAGUUAGGAUAAGAUAGGCUUGAUGUAAUCCUAAUAGAAUUAGGAGUUAUCUAGUUCUAAUAGAAAUAGGAAAGCUGUACUAGAAUUGAUAUAAAUAUCAUUGUUGAGUUGUAACAAUGAUCACAACGAAAGCUUGCAGUGUUUAGUUUUGAGUUAUUUUCUAAACAUAAUAAGAGAGUUAUUCUUAUACACAAGCUAAGGGUCUUUAUUUCACAGAACUUGAAUUGGUAUCAGAGCUGUAGGCGAAUCGAUCAAACAACUUGAAAAACCAAACUAUGGGAGACAACACCACUCCUCCACAACCAAAGGAAGUCAUCCCCUCUUCAAUCCAAUGCCCCAUGUUAAACUCUACAAACUAUGCAGUAUGGGCCAUGAGGAUGAGAGUUUUGUUGCGAAUUCAUAAGGUGUGGGAAACAAUUGAACCUGGUUCAAAAGAAUCCCACAAGAAUGAUGUCGCAAUAGGAUUAUUGUUUCAAUCCAUCCCGGAGACUCUUAUCUUGCAAGUAGGCGAACAAGACUCUCCAAAAGAGAUAUGGGAAUCAAUCAAAACUCGUAACCUUGGUGCUGAUCGUGUCAAGGAAGCAAGACUUCAAACUCUAAUGUCUGAGUUUGAAAGAAUCAAGAUGAAGGACACGGAUACAAUAGAUAACUUUGCGGGUAAGUUAUCUGAGCUAGCGUCAAAGUCAACUUCACUUGGACAAAAGAUUGAGGAACCAAAACUCGUGAAGAAAUUUCUCAAUAGUUUGCCAAGAAGUAAAUACAUCCAAAUCAUAGCCUCUCUCGAGCAAGUUCUGGACUUGAACAAAACAGGAUUUGAAGAUAUUAUAGGCAGACUCAAAGCCUAUGAAGAACGAAUUCUCAAUGAGGAGAAUCACGGAGAAACACAAGGCAAGCUACUAUACGCAAAUUCAGAGCAACAAAGUUUUACAGCAUCACGAGGGAGAGGACGUGGAAGAGGAUACAAAGGGCACAGAGGACGAGGCAGAGGAAGAUUCAACCCACAAGAACGGACAACAACUCAAGGUGAUCAAAACCAAACAAGAGAAAAGAAAGAUAGAUCAAAAGUAAUCUGCUAUCGUGUGAUAGACCUGGUCACUUUGCUUCCACAUGCCCUGAAAGAACACAAAGGAUACAAGAAGCAAAUAAAGUAGAAACGGAAGAAGCCGAUCCAGCCCUUUAUAUGCACGAAGUUGUGUUCUUAAAUGAAGAAAAUGUCAUACCAAAGAAGUACGAAACAAACGAAGGAGAAGGCGGAGUUUGGUAUCUUGAUAAUGGAGCAAGCAACCACAUGACCGGCAACAAGACUUAUUUCCUGGAACUCAACGAGAACAUAAAAGGGAAGGUGAAAUUCGGAGAUGGAUCUUGCGUUGAAAUAGGAGGGAAAGGUUCAAUUCUUUUUCAAAGCAAAACGGAGGAACAAAAACUUGUUGUCGAUAUCUACUACAUUCCUGUACUUAAAAGCAAUAUCCUAAGCCUAGGACAAGCUACGGAAGCCGGGUGUGAUGUAAGGAUGAGACAAAACUACUUGACACUCCAUGAUCCAAGUGGAAGACUCUUGGUAAAGGUCAUACGUUCAGCCAAUAGACUCUACAAAAUAAGUCUAAAAAUAGGAAAACCGGUCUGCUUACACACGAGGAUAGAAGACAAUACUUGGAGGUGGCACGCAAGGUUAGGACAUAUAAGCUUUAAAACAAUCAAAGCUAUGUCCCAACAAAUGAUAGUUCAUGGCUUGCCGGAAAUCAGAGAAGAAAAAAGAUUGUGUGAGUCGUGUUUAGUCGGGAAACAAGCUCGUCAAUCUUUUCCAAAGACAUCUAUGUUUCGAGCCUCUAAACCCCUAGAACUCCUACACGCAGACCUAUGUGGUCCCAUAACACCACCAACCAUUGCUCACAACAAAUAUAUAUUUGUUAUCAUAGAUGACUUUUCAAGAUACAUGUGGUCAAUCUUGAUAAAAGAAAAGGGUGAAGUGUUUGGUAGAUUCAAGGCAUUUAAGAGUCUAGUAGAGAAGGAUCUUGGGAAAACAAUCAUAACUCUUAGAACUGAUAGAGGAGGUGAGUUCACUUCAAGGGAGUUCCAUGAAUUUUGCGAGAAAAGCGGGAUCAAGAGGCAUCUCACGGCACCCUACACACCACAACAAAACGGUGUAGUAGAAAGAAGGAAUAGGACGUUGAUGGAGAUGACAAGGAGCAUUCUCAAGGCAAUGAAGGUACCAAACUAUCUAUGGGGGGAAGCAGUACGCCACUCUACAUAUGUAAUCAACAGGGUACCAACAAGAGCCCUUGAAAACAUGACUCCUUACGAAUGCUUGCGAGAGAAGAAACCGAACCUAGGACAUUUAAAGGUUUUCGGUUGUGUAGCAUACUCAAAAAUUGAAGCUACAAACCUCAAGAAACUGGACGACAGAUCAAAGACACUAGUGCACCUUGGGAUUGAGCCGGGAUCCAAGGCCUAUAGACUUUAUAACCCAACGACACGAAAAAUUGUUGUAAGUCGUGAUGUGGUAUUUGAUGAGAAGACAAGAUGGAGCUGGAAUGAAUCAAGAGACGAACCAAGAAGGGAUCCGGGAAUGUUUUACAUGAGAUGGGGUGAAGUUGUGGAUGCAGGAGAAGGACCCACGGUAAUAGCCAAUGAUCAACACCAAGAUCAUGACAAAACCGGAAGCAAUGAGUUAAAUGAUCUUGAGCAUCAUAAUCAUGAACAUGAAGACGACAACAACACAGACGAAGACUCUCAUAGCAAUCACGAUAAUGAGAGUAAUGUGCACCACCAACAAACAGAGCAACCGCUAAGAAAAUCGACUCGUCAAGUAAGUCAACCACGUUACCUUGAUGAUUAUGUUCUUCAAGCCUCUGUAGAAUGUGAGAGACUUCUACUUUCGAUGAAUGAUGAGCCAAGUCAUUAUAAAGAAGCAAAGGGUUCGGCAAAAUGGAGACAAGCAUGCAAAGAAGAGAUCGAUUCUAUCAACAAAAACAAGACAUGGUCUCUAAUUGAUAAACCGAGUGAGACAAAAGUUAUUGGUCUCAAGUGGAUCUUCAAAAUCAAGAAAAAUGCGGAUGGGACUAUCAACAAAUACAAGGCGAGGCUCGUGGCUAAGGGAUAUGUCCAAGAAUCCGGCAUAGAUUUCGAUGAAGUUUUUGCACCAGUUGCUCGUAUUGAAACUAUUCGAUUGUUGAUUGCAUUGGCGGCAUCGCAUGGAUGGGAAAUUCAUCACUUAGAUGUGAAAACAGCAUUCUUACAUGGAGAAUUAAAGGAAGAUGUUUAUGUUGAGCAACCCGAAGGCUUUGAAGUAAAAGGUAAAGAACACAAGGUGUACAAACUAUCGAAAGCAUUGUACGGUUUGAGACAAGCUCCUCGAGCUUGGAACACAAAAUUAGAUCAAAUAUUGAAGGAGAUGAGAUUCAAGAGGUGCUCAAAAGAAACUUCCGUGUAUCGCAAGGAAGAGGAAAGAACUCUUCUCAUUGUUGCUAUUUACGUAGAUGACUUGUUUGUGACUGGCAACACUCUCAAAGUCAUAAGUGAAUUCAAGGCUGGGAUGUCAACAAAGUUUGAGAUGUCAAUCUUGGAAGGCUCACCUAUUAUCUCGGUAUUGAAGUACAACAAGUUGAAGAUGGAAUCGAAAUUAAACAAGAAGGUUAUGCGCGAAGGAUCUUGAGAGAAGCUGGUUUAGAAACUUGCAAUCCGACUCAAGUACCUAUGGAGUUUGGACUGAAAGUGUCAAAGGCACAAGAAGAAGCAGAGAUAGAUCCUACAUGUUAUAGAAGGAACAUAGGGUGCUUACGGUAUUUAUUACACACACGACCCGAUUUGGCAUUUUCUGUUGGAGUUGCUAGCAGGUAUAUGCAAAGCCCUCGCAAGUCACAUGGUGAAAUAAUGAAGCACAUACUACGGUAUCUGAAGGGAACGGUGGCAUUUGGCUUGAAGUUUAAUCGUGGGAGAUCAAAGAAAAUCAUUGGGUUCAGCGAUAGCAGUCACAAUAUUGAUCAAGAUGAUGGAAGAAGCACUACGGGUCAUAUAUUCUUCUUUGGAUCCUCACCAAUUACUUGGUGCUCACAAAAACAGAAUACGGUUGCUCUUUCAUCAUGUGAGGCUGAGUUCAUGGCAGCGACGGAAGCAGCCAGACAAGCCAUUUGGCUUCAAGACCUGUUAAGUGAGAUCACCGGAUGGAAGACCGAGCAAAUCAUCAUCAAGAUUGAUAACAAAUCAGCAAUAGCACUCACCAAGAACCCCGUAUUUCAUGGUAAAAGCAAACACAUUCAUAAACGCUACCAUUUUAUACGAGAGUGCAUUGAGAUGGAACUUGUUGAUGUGGAACACGUACCGGGAGUUGAACAAAAGGCGGACAUCUUAACUAAAGCAUUGGCGAAGAUCAAAUUUGCAGAAAUGAGAAGCUUGAUAGGAGUUCAAGACAUGACCGAAGCUAAAUUGAAGCUUAAGAGGGAGAAUGUUGGAUAAGCUUCAACAUUACGGAGAGCCCAAGAUAUCCUAUACAAGAGUAGUUAGGAUAAGAUAGGCUUGAUGUAAUCCUAAUAGAAUUAGGAGUUAUCUAGUUCUAAUAGAAAUAGGAAAGCUGUACUAGAAUUGAUAUAAAUAUCAUUGUUGAGUUGUAACAAUGAUCACAACGAAAGCUUGCAGUGUUUAGUUUUGAGUUAUUUUCUAAACAUAAUAAGAGAGUUAUUCUUAUACACAAGCUAAGGGUCUUUAUUUCACAGAACUAGACUAUACAGUGAUGAAGAAUUUUUAUCUAUAGAUUACCUGUAGGUCUUGUCAUUGGUCUUCCCUUGAUAGAGUUGCAAACAAGCCAGCCCAGUCAGUACUGUCAAUCUGUUGGUGUUCAAGCUUUGCUUGGUUCAGAGUAGAGUAAUGUAUUCUCUAAGUUCCUAAAGUUUUACUGUGAUCAACCAUCCUUCCAUAAUUCUAAAGGUUGCUUGAUGGCCCUUACAGUUUAAUAAGUAGGGAAGCUUAUACUCCUUUUGUGUUCCAUUAUCACUGCUAAAAUAUCUUUUGAUUAUUUGGUUCAAGAAACAGGAAGAUGAAGUUUUACGAAGGACUCGUAAAAGAAUUGUCAACCUUAAAAAUACAGGUGUCCAAAUCCAAUCAGAAACUCAGGAAGCUUGACCUUGGUUCAUUUAAGCAUGUAAUCCGAAAAAUCAAGUAGGAAUAUAGACAUGCUGCAAAGCUAUUUGCCAAUCCCAGUAACGAGCUGUUUAUGAAUAGUUCAUCUGCAAAACCAUCUUCCCUUGCUAUCAUUCAACCAAGUUCUGUUUUAUUUUUCUCAGGGAGGAAUGUUUGUUUUCAAAGGGAAGCAGUUACUGUAUGCCAGGAAAGAUGAAGGGACAGGAGAUCAUGCCCCGUUAGAUGAUAUCUUUGAGAUUUGCUGCAAAGUUCCUGUUGCAUGAAGGUUCACCGCGUAGUAAGUAUCAAUAUUUCACUGGUUAGUUUCCUGCUUUUUAUCUGCUGCCUUGUAAUAGCAGCAAAAAUAAUAAUGGUUUUCAGUUUUAAUGAGGAAAUACUAGCAGUGGCAUAUAAUGCCUGUCAAGUAUAGCUAUCAUAGCUCGCCUGUAUAUUUUACGCGUAUCUUGUUCAAUGCAGAGAUUACAGGCACUUGACAGAAACUUAG
rnacentral:lncRNA from 1 species